rnacentral:lncRNA from 1 species
UUUUUUUUUUUUUUUUUUUGUUCUUCUAAACAAAUGAAUAUUAAUAAGUAAUUAAUAUUAAAAUCCACGUGGUUUAUUCCGGAAGAAUCCGACCCCACUUGUUUUGGUUCCAUCUGGCGUCUCGUAAAGUAAUAUAUACAUAAUAAUAAUAAUAAUAAUAAUAAUAAUAAUAAAUGGGAUUUUCAUAUUUAUGCACCAAAGAAUUUGAUUCUUUACUCCUUACCCCAUUUUUUCUUUUUCUUUUUUCUCUUUUUAAGUUUUAAAUUUUAAAUUAUUGCAUAUAGUUUAGCUAAUUUGAUUUACAAUUUUGGUCGGCAUACAUAAAAUUAUAAAACUAUUCUUGUUUGUAUCAAAUAUGUAUGAAGACUCGUUCAAUAAGGUCGGUUUUCCUAAUUUUUAAUUAACUAAAUAUAUAUUGCUAAUCUCUUUAGGUGGAACUAUUUUCAUUUUUUAUAAAAUAUAAACGGCUUCGUUUUAUUUGCAAUCUUUUUUUUAUAUGAAAUUAUAUAGCACGCUUGUAUGUUUAGAAGUAGUUAAUGAUUAAAAAUAAUAAUAGAAUAUUUUUUAAUUAACAAAAACAUAUAUUUAUCAUUUUUCAUAUGUUAGUGAAGUAGAAAUAAAAUAAAAUAUACAUUAAACAAAAGAGGAAAAAAGUAAUUGAAUAAUUAGAAUUACUUAUUUUUAUCAUCAAUCUUUGACUUGUUGGUGAUAAUAAAUAAAAUAAUGGAUUUAAAGCAGUUGGUUUAGGACUAUACUAAUUGUUAACUUUCAAAUGGUUUAUUUUAAUUUUUCUUAGUCAUUGUCAUUACUUUUUUUAUUUAAUUAAUUCUCCUAAAUAAAUUCAAAUUCCUUUUGAAAUUCAAUGUUUGAUGUGGUCUUGUUUUGAAUGCUACAUUUAAUUUAUUUGACUAAAAUGUAUACAUUUUUUCAGUUUUUAUUAAAUAAUUAAUUACAAGAAACAAUAAUGAAAAUUAGUCUUUUUUUUUUUUUUCUAUAAGACACUAAAUAGUUUUUUUUUUUAAAUAUUUUAGUUCGCUAUUAGUAUUAGGAUCAAAAUUGAAAAUAAGAAAAUCAAAAUCUUAAACUAAAUGGUUUAUGGUUGUGCAUAUAGAAAAAUCAUAAAAUGAAUGCAUAAGGAAACAAUAAUAUAAAUUUUUAAAACAACUUUUUAUACAUUUAAUUCAAUAAGUUUGUUUUUAAUAUCAUUUAAUGUAGUUAUUUCAUAAAUUCAAAUCUUUAAACUCAAUUGACUACUGAUUUAUUUUUUAAAAAAUGAAAAUAUUUUUUUUCAUAUACCCUCCAAAAUGUGAUUUUCAUUCAACGUAUUUGAUCAUUAUUUAGUUAAUUAAUAGCAGUCUAGUUUUUUAUUUUGAAAAAUAUUUAUCUAAUAUAGUUCUCUUUUUUUCCUCUUAAAGAAUUGUUUGAAUUGUCAGUUUUCUAAAAACAAAAUCAGUUUUUAAAAAACAUCGAAUAAGAAAAUCGAUAAGAAAGCUAGAGCUAGAUGAAAGCAAGGAUUAAAAUGUCGUUUUCAAUAUCGACUUUGCCAUUUCAAUUUUAUAAAUAUAUUGAAAAUUUUAUUUUUAUUUGAUCUAUUUUAUUAAAGAAAUGUAUACAAAAUUUGAAAUUAAAAAAUCCAAAUUAUUUUUAUUCAAGCGAUUAAUAAAUUAAAUGAUUUAUUUUUGUGGUUGUUUUAUGUCAUUAGUAAAAACAUACAUGAAAUCUCAAUUGAUCUUUAACAUCAAUUGUAAACAUUAUUUUGUUUGGGAUGGAUAUUUCAGUUAUACAUAAUUUCCAAAAACUAAAAUUAACAUGUCAUCUCAUUUGAUAACAAUUUAAUUUUCAGUUUUUAAUUUUUGAAGAAUUAUGCUUAUUUCCUCUCGAAAUACAAUCUUUGAAUUUUAAAAACGUGAUUUCAUUACGACACAAAAUUUAUAUCAUUAACCAUUUUUAAAAUCGAAGCCAAUUUAUCCAAUAGUUUUUAAAAAAGCAUUGCUAUGACAUUGGAGUUUAAAAAAACAAUCCAAUAAGUACUAAAACUUUUGAUACUUGUAUUUAAUAAGUCAUCAACAUUUCAACUUUAGGUACGACCCAAAUUAAAUUACAAAAAACACUUUCAAACUUCGUCAUUUGUUUAAAAAUACUUUUAUUCUUUCAAAAGUUGAAAGAUUAGUCUAGACAUUUAACACAUGUUUUAAAAUUACCAAAGUAAAAAUCCAUUAAAAUGUUAGAUAGAAAUCAUAAUCUAAAAUAUCACAUCUAGAAUAUGCGACAGUGUUUGAAUCACAAUUUUUAAUCUUGGGAUGUUCAAUUCAAAGUCAUACUUUUCACAUAAUAUCUUAACAAAUUUUUUCACUAACUAGUCCUAGAAACGUAUAUAAAAAGGGCAACAAUAAUACUACAACCAAUAAAACAAUAUUGACAAAAUUAAAAAGUAAUUUUAAAAUACAUAACUUUAUUAUGAUAUAAUUAGUCUUUUAAAAAUCAAACAUACCUACUAAAAAAAAGUCUAUUUUAAAAUAUAAAAUUGAAAAUAUGUAUGAACACAAAAGUUGAAGAUUUUUUAAGAAAGAAAAUAAAUGUCAUAAAGGUGUUAGUACAAAACUUAAAUGUUUAAUAACUUACGGAUAUAUAUAGCAUUUUCAAAGUUCAAACAUCUAAUUACUUACCAUUUAACAAAAAAUGUUACUAUAAACAUCAACUUUUCCACACACACACAUUGGAGGGAAAGUUGAAGAGUUUGAAAGAAUUAUAUUUAAUUUAAGUAGAUGAAUUAAAUGGUGUAACUUUAUUUAAUCUUAAUUUUCUUUUUAAACAUUUAAUAAAUAAAAAUUGCUCCCUAGUCCUCGUUGCUACCUAUUUAUCCUAGAUUCCUGUACUUUCCAUAUUUACACUUUCUUACGCAAGCCAGAAACUGACACAAAGAUUUAAUAUUUUCCCCAUAUUACAAUAAUGCCAUUUACCCCCUUAAACUUCCUUUUAAUUACACAAAAUAGCCCCCCCCGGGACACGUGGCAGAGGCUUAAGAAGGUUCUUUUGCCCUUUGGGUAGUUUCGUAAAUGCAAACAUAAUUAGGGUUAUUUGGGGAAAAGCAGGAUCUUGUGGCAGAGACAGAAGUAGCUGGCCAUGUGCUGGGGAAAGUGGCGUGCCAGCUGGCCCAUUCAGGUUGGAGGCUGAAGGAUGAGAGUGGCGUCCAGCUAAGCACUUAACGCCGUCAUCCACGUUCUCUUAACGGACGUUUACAACAGAAAAAAAGAUGGUGACAGAAGAGAAGAGAGGAGGAAUGAUGAGGAGGCCAUCCAAGUCAUUGCCAGGUAGAUAUAUCCUCCCAACCCAAAAGUAUAUACCUUUUAUCCUUUGUAUUUACGAUCCCAAACCUACUUCUCAUUGGUUGAAUUAGACUACGAUCAAUUACAAAAUCAUCUAGUUUCAAUAAACUAAAAAUGGUUAUAAAGUUUUAGAGUUUCGUUAGUUACAAAAUGUUCCAAAUUGGAAAAUAGAAUGUCCAAAUACGUAAGAACACAACGUGAACAAAUGUUGACUAAUGAUGUAUACUUGUUUGAUUUGUUCAUAUUCAUUGUCUAUAUAUAUACUCUUUUGUAUUGUUAAUAUCAUACUACAAACAAACAAAGAUAUCCUAAUUUAAACCUAUUCUCCAUUCAAACUAAUUUUAAUCCUUUAAUUAAUUAACUUAUUUACAUUUUCGUGAAUCAAUAGUAAUGUAAUUACACUUAUUUCAAAAAAUAUUAGAAACAUUUUCUGAAAUUGAAUUACAAAUUUAGUUUAAUGCGAGUUGUCAUCAUCUUUCUCUUUAAAUAUUAAAGGCUCAACUCAUAUCUACGAUAUAACAACAAAAAAAUAUAUGAUCUUCAAACCUUCAAUUUGUGUCUAAUAUGUGACACUUGGAUGUAAGUUAGACAUCAAGAGACAUUGUAAUAUAAAAAAUAAAAAAAUAUACUAAACAUUCUCAACCACUUAUUUAUUUAUUUUUGAAAAUAGAGAAGGCUAUUUUGAGUAUUUAAUUGAUGUCAAAAGAAGGAGAAGAAGAAGAAGCAUGGGCUGAAAUAUGGAAGAGUAGAAACAAAAAGCAAAGACCAAAUCAAAUAAAUUGGGGGGUGGCCAAUGUGCAACCCCAAUUAAUUUAGGGUACCAAUAUUGAAAUGAAAGAAAAUUCGAAAUGGGAAAGAAAAGAAAAAGGGAAACCAAUUGUAAAUGGAGGAAAUUUCUUUUAUUUUUGACAUCCAAUUCUGACACCACAAUAAAUAAGUGAAGCAAAUAGUAAAGAAAGGAAUAGAAGAUCAUAUAAGAUGAUAUAUAUAUUGAAAUUCUAUUUUAGCAUAUAGUUUUUGUAUGUCACAACGGUAACGUGAAUGAAAUAAUGUGGAAAAAUAAAGAAAAGAGAAAAGAUAGAAUAGUUGAAGCGUAGCAUCAGGUUGAGGGGAGAAGGACAUUCAACAUUUAUUGAUGUUGUUCCCUUGUCUCCAAACUCCAAUUAUUCUUUUUCCUUUUUCCUUUUUCCUUUUUCUCUCUUUUCACUAAUUAAACUUUCACUAAUUAUAUUUUCUAUUUCUAUAUAACUUCAUUAAUUCUAUUAAUAUAUAUGCCAAAAAUAUGGUUAACAUACAUGCAUUCUUUAUUAUAAUCUCAAUUUUAAACACUUUUUUGUGUGUCCUAUACUUUUCUUGGAAGUGCUUCUAAACCUACAACUUUUUUAUCCAUACUAUUAUUCACAUUUAAUGCCUUGCUCUUUAAUGAAUUUGCAAAACUAGAUACUUCAAAGUUUGUGAAAUUCAUUUCUUACUUCAUUAUUUUUUUUUUUAUAAAUACCCAUUCAGUAUUUUAAAAGUAAGUGUAUCUUUUAGUAUUUAGAUUUAUAAGAAUAAACAAAGAUAAAGAUAAGAAUAGUUUGUAUACUGUUUUCAAGAUUUUACUUUUAUCAUUAAUUCUAACUUUAAGUUCCAAUCAUUUUCUAGAAUAAACUAUGAACAUAUAAUAUGUCUCUUAAAAACAACUUAAAAUCAAAUUAGUACCUUGUUAUAAUUGAAUUCGAAACUUAAAAUUAUUUAAUUUCCUAAAUCUAGCUAAGAAUUGAGUUAAAUAUAUAUAUUAUUGUAUAACGUAAAUUCAUCUUUUCUAAAAAAAUGUCAAAAUUUAAAUUGUUUUUCCUAAGUAUUAAUUAAGGGUCUUUUUAUAAAAUUGGAAGAAGGUGACAAAAUAUUUAGCAAAUUUGAAAACAGAAAAAGUUUACAAAAAAAUUCAAAAAAUGUAGAAAAAUAAAAGAAUGGAAAAGGAUGUAGAAAAAAUCUGACGGAAGAGCAAUAAUCAAAUUUGAAGAAUCGUUAUAAACUGCAAUUAUGAAAAGAUAAAACAAUCCAUGUUAAUAAGUUUUUCUUAAAUCGUUCUACAAACUAUAAAUAUUCAACAAUUAAUCAAUCAAUUAAUAUAUUAUCAUAAAUGAUGGUAGGAAAAGUAAAAUAAAAUGUGACCCAUAUUCAGGUAGAAUAUUUAAAUUAAACUAAUGAAGUGAUAAUUGCUUUGGUAAAACUUUAUUUUUUCUUACUUCUUAUGAUAAGUAUUGAAUUAUUUAUAAAGUAUAGUGUGAAGCUAUACAUGACAAUUGAUGCCACAUGUUUGAUACCCAGAUGAUCAUUAUAUGCAUAUUAUAUACUUUUAAAAACAAGAGAGAGAACUUUACCCUAUGAAUAAUUUACAAAUAAUUGGGGAUUUUUGUAUCAUAUAUAUAAAAUACACUUGUGUGUAUCAAAAUUUCAUAAUGUCUACCAUGUAAUGUAUAUCAUUUUGCCUGCCUUGUACUUUUAGGACAAAAGCCAUUCUUUAGUAGACAAGAUCAGCAACUUUAGGGUUCUUGAUAAUUCAACUUUAAAUCAUAUUUAUUUAUUUUUUCUUUUUUUCAAAUUUCAUACUUAUUAUUUUCUUGUCUGAUUCCGCUUUUUAACUUACUUUUCUUCACAUAUUGAAUUUUAUCAAAAUUUUGCAUGUGAAACGAAUAAUUAAUCUAAGAAAGUUUCAAAUUCAAAAUUUAGUAUAAAGUUCUUGAUUUUUUAAAUAAAAGGAUAGCCUUAUGUACAAUACAUAUUUAUGGUUUCAUUACCAACGUUUAUUAUAUACAUCACUAUUAUUUAAAAUAUCUUUUAUGUUUUCUUUUUAAUUAUUACAAGAGGUAAAUGUAUAGGUAGAAGAUAUAAUAGAUAAUAUCAUAAUGUCUAAUUAAUUAGGUUUUAAUUAGCCACAAUAUCUUCAAUCUAAUUUAAUAAGAUAGUUUGAAAUAAAAGUAUCUAUGGGCGAUAUUAAAAAUAAAAGUUUAUAUUUCUCCAUAUUUAAAUUUAUUUUACUAUUUUUAAAAAUAUUUACGAUUUAUUUAUUUAUUUAUUAUUAUUAGUGCUACCAUUAAUUUGUGUAGGACUAGUCCGUAACAUUUGUGUUUUGUUUUCAUUUAAUUAGUUAUGAUAUUUUUUGAUGAUAAGAACAUUUUCUUUGUUGAGAGUGUGAUUAAUUUUUUCAACUAUUAUUUAAAACUAAACCAAUAAUUUGUUUUUAGAAAUGAAAUAUGAAAUGUUAUAUAUUGAUUGCUACAUAAUUUCACUUUGCCACUAUUAAAAAAAAUGAAUUAAUUUUAUUACAUCAGUUUUCUAUACUAAAUUCUAUAAUUUUUUUAAAAAAGAGUAGAUCAUAUAGGUCUUCUUAAACACAUGACAAUUGAUGGGAUUUUUUUAACAAUUAUUUCAUAAAUCACUACCAAAUAGCUUUCAUUCAAGGAUAUAUUUUCCUAUUAGUAGUUCUUGUCCUAUUAUUAUUUGUAUGGACUUUUGAAUAUGCUAUGGAUGGAUAGAUCGAUUAGACACUCAACAGUUAGUGAAGGUGUUCUAAAGUGCAAUUUUUAUAUAUCAAAUUGAAAUGUGUUAUGAAAUGUAAAAAAAAUUCGAGAGAUAUAAUUGUAAAACAAACACAUCUAAAAAAGCUUACAACAACUAAAAUAAAUAAAAAUUAAAAAGAGAGAAAGGAAAAAAAAAGGUUUACCUUUAAACUAUAGGAUUAGAAACGUGCGAUCAAACACGUACAUUUUCUUAGUUGAAUGCUAUCCAAUUUGUUUGUAAACUUGGAACGUAGAAAAAUGAAUUUUUAUAGCCCUCCAAAACUUAACUAAUUGGUGCUAUUUGAGGAUUUAUAUAGGUUUAUUAAUUAUAUUAAUCGAUUAUAAAUAUUUCUUUUUCAAUUAGCAUAAUUUUAAAGAGCACAAGAUAAACACGAAAAUGAAUUAUUGAUUAUUUUAUUUUAGAAAUUGGAUGAACUUUCAAUUAUCGUGACCUAUGAGUGGUUCAUAAGUUACAAUUAACCUAAUAAAUUCAUAAAGUAUUUAUAAAAUAAUCUUCUUUAUUUUUCAAUUACCAUAUAAGUAGAAAAGUGAAAAGACAAAAUUGUCACCAAUGCAAUAAUAGAAAAUAAUAUAAAGACAAAAAUGUCAUAAAAAAUUUCUCCUCGUCCAAUCUUUUAUAUAUACUAUAGAUUAGUUGCAUAAAUGACAUUUAAGCAAAAAAAAAAAAAAAAAAAAAAUAUAUAUAUAUAUAUAUAUAUAUAUAUAUAUAUAUAUAUAUAUAUGACACAGAGAAUAAAAUAACAUGUGUAGUGAAAAAAAUAGUAAAAGCCUACCCAUAGCACAAAGAUUGAUAAUUGUUAUUAGUUGUUAUCAAUGAAUACUACUUAAUAGCUGCUAUUAGUGAUAACUUUCAAUUUGAAAAAUGUGUAAUAAAUUGUUAUGGUUGAUAGCUACUCUCAACGAAUAUCACUAAAUGCUGCUAUCAAUGAUAGAACUAAAUUACUUUUAGUGAUGGAAGCACGUGUACUUGAUAAGCUUGAAAUUUUUAAAAAAUUACAAAUUGAUCGAUCAGUAAUUACAAAUACUUUAAAGUUUUGUUGUUUUCAUAUUAUUUUUCUUAUCGUGUUAUUUGUUAUAAUUUUCAUUUUCAAAUAUUUUGAUUGGUGGUCAAUGCUUUUGUAUUUUAAAUUAUUGUUAACAAUAAGUGGGAUAAGGGAUUUACUUUUUUUUACCACAAAACUAUCAUAUGUAAUGUUGGUUGAGCCAUGUAAAUCAAACUUUAUUUUUUUUUUGACAAAUUGCAAACUUUUAAUUUGAUCGAUUCAAACUUUAAAUUUGAAUAAUAGUAUAAAUUUAUACCUUUGUUUAAAUCUCAAUAGGGUUAAAUUUGUUAAAGAAUAACAAGUCUAAGAUUUUAAUGGGUAAAAAUAGAAAACAUAAGGUUGAAAUUGAUAGAACUAAAAGUUGUAUAAGAUUGAAAUUGUCACAAUUGGUGUUUAAAUUAUGAAGAAAUUGAAAGUCUAAGAUUAAAAUUGAUAUCCAGUAUAUCAUAUUUUCGGAUUUAAAUUGACGAAAGUAAUAGUUAAAGGUUAAAAUGGAUACAAAAUUGAUUUUUUAUUUAAAAAAAAAAAAACAAAACUUCUAAGAAAGAUUGAUUUCUUUUUGGAUUUUCGGAGAAACAAAAAUAAAAUGAAAGUUAGAAUUUCGAUGCACUUUUGCUUGAACCAAACGAAAAGGACAAUUUUUAGCUUUUAAUUUUGUCUUUAAAUGUCUCUUAAUUAUUUGACGGUUCAAUUUCAAACUAAUCUUAAUUAAAAAAUUGCUUUCGCUGAUUUUGAUGAACAAAUACAAUAAAUUUCUUUGAGGGGAAAAGUGAUUAACCCACUAGUUAUGUUAUUCUUUAUUUUGUUUUCUAUAUAUGACUUCCACAAAUAAUAACUUAAACUUCUAACCUCCAAUAUAUAUCUAUUUCAACUAAUUAAACUUAGUUUGAUUGAGUGUUUAUACCCUCUUUUAUCUUCUUCCAAAAUUUAAAGGAAGAAGGCGUAUAUUAAAAAAUAAUAUAACAAAACGUCAAAAUCUUUACACAUAUAUAACAAUUUCAAAAACGAAAAAAACUCAUUCAUCCACAAUAAAAAAUAUAAAAAAUGUCCCGCAGUUAAUUUUCAUCUAGCGCGCCUAAUAUAUUUUUUGUAAAUGAUUGUUUAGAUUUUACUAUUCUUUUCUAUAUGAUCGUUUAUAAUUUUUUAAAAAAAUUAUUUGGUAAUGAUCGUUUAGCUUUGACAUAAUUAGAUUUGAUCGUUUAAAUAUGGUCAGCAAAAUCUCAACUAUUUUUUUUUGAAGAUUAGUUGAUAACGAUUAUUUAGAUUUGAAAAACAACCUUUUAUAUUUUUAUUUUUGGUAACAUUUGGCAAUCCAAUAUUCAACUUUUAUUUUCACAUGUUUUAUAUUUGACAUACGAUCUUAAACAACAAACAACAAGUUGAUGAAAAAAAUUGCAAAAGGAGAGAAAAAGAUGAUGUAAAGAAAAAGAAAAUUGGAGAAGAAAAAAUAUAGAAAGGUAGGACAAACAAAAAUAUUUUUAACAAUUAUAAAAAAAGAAAAGAAUGAUGAAAAGAAAAAAAAUUGGAGAAGCAGAGAAAAUGACGAUGAAAAGAAAAAAAUCGUGGUAGAGAAAAGAAGGGCAAACCUGGAUUUUUAUUUUUUGAAAAAAAUGGUGAAUUUGAUGGAUUUUUUCAUCUUGUUGCCCAAGCUAUAAAUUUUGUUGCUGAUUUAUUAUAUUUAUGAAGUUUUCUAAAAAAAAAAACUUCAUACAAAAUUUAUGUGAUUAAUUGAUUAUAGUUUGAAUUUUGAUUUGAAAAAUAAACCCACUAAAGUACAUUUACCUCAAUAUAUGUAGCCAAAACAAAUAUAUAUUAAGUUUUAGUUCAACAAUAAUUAAUAUAACAUAGAAGAGUUGAAAUUGAUAUAGAUCAAGAAAUUUAUAAUUUGAAUCGACGGGUGUGUGUAUAUAUAUUUUAGUAAAACACAAAGAGUAAUGAAAUUGAUAUGUUAAGGAGGAAAAAAAGGGGUUAAAUAAAGGUAUUUAAAGAAAGGGAAGGUUGAAGGAAAAGCACUAUAUAUGCAAUAAUGUAAAUUCAUCGGUUAGUGUAUAAUUAAAUGAAUUAAUCCUCCCAUGUGCUUUUCAACCUUUAACUUAAUACAAACUAUAUAUUAUUAUUAUUAUUAUUAUUAUUAUUAUUAUUAUUUAGUAACAUCCCUUUUCCCAAUCCUUCGUUCCUUUUGCCCUUUACUCCCUUUAAUUACUUAUUUCCUUUAUUUCUUCUAACCUAAACUUGAGGGUUUCUUUCUUCUUUCAUUUAUGAAAUAUUAGGGUUUUGUUUCUUUUGAACAAAAAUUUAUAUAAUAGUAUAUAUUUGAGUCCUAAUGAUUUUAAUUAAACUUAUUUUUUUUUGUCAAAUGUUAGUUGGGUAUCAUUGUCAUAUAUUUGUCAACUUGAAUAUAACAUAAUCGAUUUGUAAUAAGUACGAACUCAUAGAAUAUCAACUUAAUUCAGUGUAACCAAAGGGUGACUUUCCAUCCAUAAUCUUACUGUUUUAUAAGAGAUUUGAGUCAAAGUUUGAUUAAAUAAUACUCCUAGUUACUUUGAUAAUUUGUUUGCCUUUUUCAAAUAUUCAAUCAUUUCACUAAGCUUUAAUUUGACCACAAUUUUCAUUCAACUUAUAAAAAUAUUCCUAUUUACUCCCAACUCCCCAACUCCCCAACUCCCCAACUUUCUCUUUUUCUUUUCCUUCAUUUAUUGUUUUGUAAAAGUAUAGAAAUUCUUUUGUUGUUUAUAAUGACUUUUAGACCAACACCACGUACUCCAAAAAGUUUCUAAAAGUAUUGGAAAACAAUAUUAUAUAUAUGUGUAUUAGUUGAAUUUGUGUUAAAAGUAUUGUUAAAUGGAAACCCUAACAAUCUCUUUUAAGAAAAAUUAAAAACUAGUGGUGAAUCAAAGCAGAUUUAAAAGCCUCCCAAAUGUAAAUAUUACUAAGGAUGAAAUGAUAUAUUUAUAUUUAUUGAACUUUAGAAUAAAAAAUAUUCUCAGCUGACAAAUUAAAACAUUUAUUCUGAAAAUUUUUGAAAGAAAAAAAUAAAUUGAAUAUGGACCUUCAAUAUGGUUAUAAGUCAAUUGUUCUGCUCAUUAUUAUAACGAAGGGAUGCAAAUAAUUUCAAUAUGGAACAGUUAUUCAAAGCCUAACUUUGCUUGCUUUUGUAGUAAUAGACAUGCAUUAUCCCUUGUAAAGUCGAAAUUUCAAUCUCUCGUUUCCUACGGUUGUUGGACACUAAAGAAACAUGAUCCUACAAGUUGUAGGCUAUUUCUAUAUCAUAAUACGUAUACCAAACUUUUUUAAAGAUAAAAAAAGUCCACGCUCUUUUUUCACAUUUUCAAAACUCAUCUCCACAUAUUUCGUUAGAAUAGUUAUUCAUAAACGAAAACGUACACAUCGACAUGUAGUGAUUCAAAAGUUAACCUAAAAAAACAUAUUCACAACCCAACAAAUUUAUGAUAAACUAGAACACACUAUGAAUACAUGUAUAUGUAUUAUAGGUGGAGUUUUUGUUUUGGGUUUCUAGGGUUUUAGAUUCCAAUAAUGGAAGAUCACAUGUAUUUGCACAAGCUUUGCUAUGGGUAAUGAUAGGACACAAGGGAAAAACACAUUGCAUGUGGGUUAUUACAUGAAUUUAGAAACCAAGGACCCUCUUUUGAAAAAAGCAUUUUUGGCAUAUGUUAUCAAUUUAUCAACACCACACCUAACUUUGCUCAAAACCCCUUCAAUUUCUUCAUAAUGAUAGAGAGACAAAUUGUUUGAGAGGUUGUUUUUGGGAGUUAGAGUUUAAUUAAUAACAUGUGUUUUUGUUUUGUUUUUUAACAUACAAAAAACUAAUUAUGAGAAAAUAUGUGUGUGAAUAAUUGGGAGUACCUAUUUAGGAGUUGAGUUUUUAAUGGAAAAACUAUGGAAAAGUUUAAUUUAUUGAGAUAUAUCUCUUUUUUAGAAUUUUUUUUGUUGGAUAUUUUUGGUUCUUACAAUCAUUCAAUUUCUAUCAAAAGAGUUUGGUGAAGAAUUUAAAUACACUAACUGACUUUUAGUAAUUAACUCAUUUAUAUUUUUAAAAAAAUUUACACUUGAAAAUACAACUAAACUCCUAAAUUAUAAGGUGAAUAGCUCUACGUAGAAAUUAUCGUCGAAAAGUACUUUAUCAAACUAUGUUUCAAACAAUUCUAUCUAUAGUUAUCAAGUUCUCUCGCAAAGGUCCAAUUGUCAAGAAUAAUUGAGAAUAAAAAUCUUGUAACAAAAUGCCAAGCGAGUAAUAAUCUUUUGUACAAAUUCACUAAUUUGUUCUCUUUCUCCACGAAAUUAUAUUACAAGAAUUACCUAAUAUUCACACUAAUAUAUAACAUUUGUAUCUCUACGUGUUAAAACAUCGAUUACUCCAAAUUUUAAGUUUAAAUCUCUUGUAAAGUUAUUUUGUCGAUCUCUAAUUAUUAUUGAUAUGUGGCUUUUAGACAAAUGAUAAAGGAUUAUUACUAAAACGAACAGGUCAAUUAUUAUAAAAUUUUAGUUUUAUCCCCUCAUUUUGAACAUUUGAAGUACUAAUAUAUAUCGAAUCAACUUAAAAUAAUGAUGAGUUUGAGUGGUUUGAAACUAUUUUAAUCACGAAAGUGAACCAUAGAUUUACAUAGGGAGAGAAUCUAGUGAAAUUAAAUUUAUAUACUUUUUUGACCGUCAAAAAGGAAAAACUUUUUGGGUGAGAUAUAUAUUAUGUGUGACAUGGCAUGUGGGUGACAUUAGCUCUAGCUCAAACCCUCAAAUAAUUCUUUUAAGGAUCAUUUCAAUGCUGACUCUUUCAAUCAUGAGGGUCAGAAAAAGAAAAAAAAGAAAAGAAAGAGAACACAGAAGAAAGAGAUGAUGUUACAUUACACUACAUUACACACACACACACAUAUAUAUUAAUAUCACAGAUUGGUGAUUUUUUAACCUAGAAAAAGGUAUGAACUUUGAAUGAAAAUGAUUCAAUUGGAGAGGAAAAUGAAAGAAGAAGAAUAUUUAUAAUAAGAUGAUGAUGAUGAUAAUAAUAAUGCACUGUCAAAAUUGUUUGGAAGCUUAGAAAUAUUUUGUCAUGAAGUAGUUGAAAGGGAAGAGAAGGGAAGUGGCACGUGAUUAGCAUGUGACCCUCCCCAUUAUUAUGGAUUUUUAUAUAUGAAAUAUUUUGUCAGUGUUAAAUCCUUUUCUAUAUAGCUAAGUUUAUGGGCAAACCCUUCAAUUUUUUUUUCAUUCAUCAUCAUCAUCAUCAUCAUCCUUAUCUCAAUAUAAUAUAAUCUAUAGUUUUUAUUUUUGUACUCUUUAUAUAUGAAUAUAAGUUUUUAUUAUAUAUAUGGUAUUUAUUUGCGAUAUAUAUAUAUAGAAGUGAUGAUAGCCAAAAUUCCCAAAGUUGACUGGCAGAUGGAUAAGACAUAUACUUCCAUUAUUCUGUUUUGGAGUUUUUCUUCAUUUUCUUGCCAAAUUCCAUCCUCUAUUAUAUCCUCUUUGGGUGUUACAAAAAUCUACAACUUUGUUGGAGUUUGAGAAUUGAUUUAUCCAAAAAUUUCUUUUCCCAUUUCUUCAAAAAUAUAUACAAAUUUAGGGUUAAGUUAUAAGUUUUGGUUACAUAUUAUAAUCAAAUUUAUCCAUAUUCUUAAACUUUAAUCUUUAAUUUUGAGUUGAAUAUUUAAUUAUUUAAAUUGAAUUGAAGCAAAUUGGUUUAGGAGGUUGGACGUGUGAUAUAUAAUUGAAGGAAAUAACAUUAUUGAAGCUUAAACUCAAAAUAUUCUAAGAUGAAAACAACCGUAACCAAAGUAGUCUUGAAUGAAGGUGUUAAUUUUUAUUUUACUUGUUUCCUUCAAAUAACAUAAAGUCUUAAUUUUUCUCUCCUUUUACCCUUAGUCUAAAAUUCAAUAUUCCCUCCUUAUUAGUACUAAAUUUGAGUACAUCACCUUACACUUUUCUUCUAUGACACAAGUUAAGGAAUUAAUUCUAAAAGAAGAAUAUGCAUGUAUUUUAUCUUUCCACGAGGAACAAUUAUUUUAUCUCUUCUAUGGUUUGAAUUUAUAUGUUAUCUAACUAUUUCGUUCCCAUGUAUUUUUUGUGAGCCAACUGUGUACAAACUAAUUAUAUUAACGUCGUUAUAAGACUCUUGUUUUAUCAGAGGUUGGCACGAUAAUAUUAAAAAGAUUGUGAGAUUAACUAGCUUACAUGGUCCAUGUUACCGGCGGAUUUAGUAUAGGUCUAGGGGGGCCGAGCCCCCACAACUUUAUUGUUUUUAUAUAAUAUGUAUAAACAAAAUCAAUUAAUACUCAAUAUUUGUAGAUAGUUUAAUGGUAAUUAUGCUUGUUAGCCCCAUUCCAACCAAAGUUAAAGUCUUACUUACGUAGUUUUUUUUCUUCAGAUUUUUAAUUUUUUUCCUAAGUUACAACUCGAAGCCCCCUGUCAAUAAAUUCUCUGGAUCCGCCACUGAUCUAUGUUGUUUCCUUUUGAUUGAUGUGUCCGUUACACGAAUGAAAUAGUAUGUGUCAUAGUGUUGUAUGAUGAUUGGAUUGGUUUUUUUGUUUUUAAUUCUUCUUUUAGGUUUGAAGAAGUGGUGAGAAUCGGUUGCAGCUAAUAAAUUGGUUUUUGAAAAGAGAAAAAAGAAAGAAAAAACUCAGAAAAGUAGAAAAAAGAAAUAAUAAUUGAAAAUGGGUAGAAAAAUGAUUGGUGAUAUAGGGAAGCUCCGCAAAGCAAUUGCAUGUGAGUGACAUGAAAGAUGCUGCAGCUUAAGAAUGUUUUCCAUGUUAGGAUUCCCAUAUUAUUAUUGUAACACUACAGAUUUACCUCCAAACUAUAUUCACUACUACUGCUAUUAUUAUUAUUAUUAUUAUUAUUAAAAACGCACCAUAUUACAUGUUUCAUCCAACAUAGUUUAAAUCGCUACCAUAAUAUUGUAUCGAACUCAUUGAUCUUUAAGAUGAUAAUUUCAUUCGAUACAUUCUUAUAUGAAGAUGGUUAAAAUUAUUUUCUUUUAGUCGAGUUGAUGUGAGUGUGUAGAGACAGAAAGGAGUAAAUAGGUUUUGUGAAAUGAAAUAUAAAAAAAAGAGAUAUAUAUGUUGAUAUGAUAAUGGGUUGGGAGAGGACAUUUCGUAGUCUGCUCAACGAAAGUGGGUACCUUGGAUUCCUUUUUCGUAGAGAGAGAGAGAUGGGAUUAAUUCUCACAUCUAAGAGAAAUUGUUGUAUUCAACGAGCUAAAUUGAUAUAUAAAAAAAAGAAAAACUAAGUUUAAUAGAAAACAAUACUAACGUAAUUUGAAAUCCAUCUUUUUCUCAUAUAAUCUAUUUUUCAGUUUUAUAACAAUGUUUGUGUUUUUUUGUGUACCACCUACUACCUUCCUUCGUUUUUCCCUAUCUUAGACAAAUAAAAUAAAUAAGAAAGGCAUUUUUAUGGGUCAGAAUUGAGAUCUAUUGAUUACAUUCAACCUCUAAUUACAGUAAUUUUUUUAAUAUCUAAAAGAAAUGUCAGAAAAUCAGUGAUGGAAAAUAGUUAAAAACUCAUAUAAAAAAAUAAAAUUUACAAACCCCCACAAUCUCUCUCUAAUUAUUGUAAUUAUUGAGAAAACUGAGGUGCAAAGGCACGUGAUGCCCACUUGGUGAGAGAAGCUAUGCUAUUCGUGACUUUUCUUUUCCUUCUUUCUUCUUUCUUCUUUUUUAAAUCAUAAUAACACUAAUUUACACUUUUUUUUUUCUUUUCAGUUUCAAAAUCCAAUAAUACGUUUUUUUUUUAUAAAAAAAAUACUUUUGUUCUCUCCAAUUCAUAGUUUUUAAAUUUAUAAAAAUGUUAGUUUUUAUUAGGAAUAAUCUCCUUUAGUAAACAUUUAUUUUCUUAAAUAUCUUGUUGUUCUAUGUUUUGACUUUUUAAAACAAUAAGUUUACAAACAUUAUUUAUUUUUGAAAAAGCAAGCGAACUUUUUUUUAAAAAUUUCAAAAUUUUAUUUUUGCUUUUGAUAAGAACUAAAACGUUUUUUUUAAUAGAAAAACAAAAAUCAGUGGGAGUUUGAACUUUUAUUUUUGAUUCAAAACAAAGCUCUUUUUUAUAUGUAUUUUUUCUGUUCUUUAGUUUCUUUUUUUUAUUAAGGUUUCGAAAAAAAGUCCAAAUUUUAAAACUAAUGAAAAAAAGAAAAUAUACAUCUAAUUAACUAAAAUCCAAAAAAUUUCAAAAGCAAAUACAAAAUUGAAAAAAAAAGUAAAUUAAAAAUUAAACUAAUUUGGUUAUUAAUAAUAUUAAUUUAGAAAAGGAAUUUAGUGUAAUAUUGGGAAUGGAACCACCGACCAAUGUAUUGAAAUGCUGAAAGGACAAAUCUUAUUUACUUAUUUUGUUAUAUAUAUAUAUAUAUUAAAGUUAAAAACUUUGGUUUAAUUUAAUGUAUAUUUAUUUAUGUUAAUUAAUGCAUUAUUAUGUGGGUUUCUUUUUUCUUUCACAAAAAUCUUUGACCAUUUUCACAUUUUGGUUUGGUUUCUCCUUCUUCCCUUUUUUCUUUCAUUAACUUUAUUCACCCUUUUCAUUUUACUUACUUAUUAUUUCAUCCUAAUUAUUAUCUAUAAAUAACCAUCUACCAUUCUAUUAUAUACAUGAUUAUGAUUAUUAUUAAUCCAUCUCUAAAAACCUUUCAACUUUUACAUUUAUAUACUAUAUAUUCUUAUUGGUUUCGUAAACGUAUGUUUCACAAUCUCUCGUUUCUUUCUAGUAAUAUUAUGUCAAUUUUUUAAUAAUUUUUUUCUUUUAUAUUGGUAGGUGUUUGGACUAAUUUGUACGCACUUUUACUCAUCUUAUGAGACAAUGUGUAGAUAUUUGGGUGUCAAAAGAACUUACACGAUGUUCAAUCCUAGUUAAGACGACCACUAAAUUUUUAAUCAUUUAAAAAUAUAUUACGAUGGUUUGUUGUAAAUAAAUAGUGGGAAAUACAAUUUUGAAAAAUUAUGUGGAAAGUAAUUUACGCUUUUGUUGGUUGUUGAUUUAGCAACUUUCAAGGUCAAAAUAAAUCAACUCACAUGUACCAUAUGAAAGGCUCCAUGUUAAUUGUGAACCUAUGCUAUCCAAUUUUAAUUCGAGAUGUUGGAGUCGAUUUGAGUUUUGGGCCAAAACAAAGUACGUUAAAACUUUAGGUACAAUUCCAAGACUAUAAUAAUCAUAUUUUGCUAUAUUAAAUACUAUUGCGUCAUCAUCUGUAGAUACUACCGAAAUGAUCUUUAUUAUGUUGAGUCCUUGCCUCUUGUUACCUUUGAGAAAAAAAAGCAAGAGCAAGUAAGGAGGUAAGAAAAUAACGAAUGUAAAGCUAAAAUAACCCAUCAAAUCAUUGAAAGACAUGUCUCCAAAUCUAUAUGAAUAGAUGUUAAUGGAAAAAAAUGAAUGACCGUGAAUUAAUUAUAUUUAAUUAUCAAUAGACACACAAAGAAGACGAGAAGUUUUGCAAAUUAGAACUUAGAAGAAAUUCAUGUAUUAUUAUGAUGAAAAUUAUAUACACAAUAAAAGGAUGGGACUAAAAGAGAUAUAAUUUUAAUUGAAUUUAAUUUGACUCAAUUGUCAACAACAACAAUAUAUAAUAAAGAAGAUAUUCCCUUUCUUGCAAAAGACACCUUGCAAAGCACUAAGUUAAUACAAAUCCCCAAGUUGAAAAAGAAGAGAAAAAGAAAACAUAACUUGGCUUCAUAGCCAAGAAACCUUAGCUUCCAUAAAUAACAAUCAAAUGAUUAUAUAGUCCACAAAAAUAAUCUCAAUUCUUAUCCAAUUAUAUUGACAUAAUUAAAUUAUCCAUAAGUAGAUAAAUUGAUCACAUAUAACACCAUUGCUAUUUAUAAUCAAGGAUAAUGGUGAGGAGAUUAGAUGAUAAAUAAUUAAUAUCCUUGAUCUUAAUCAAGAUUUUUGUUACCAUAAUAUAAUUAUAAGACCGAUGUUUGAUACUAAAAAAAGAAAGUUUUAAUUAAUAUAAUUUCCAAAGUGGACAUUGCUUGUAAGGUAGUCAUGAUGCCUUAUUUGUAGCUAACAUUGAUAUGAUUGAACCUCAAAGGGAGCUGUUUUCAAUCAUCAAUUAAAAUCAUAAAAUAUGUACAUCAUUAAUCAUAUAUACCAAAACAAAUGAAGAGAAGAAAAAUUUAUGCCAUUACUUUAUUAAUUAGGAGCAUAUAUUGUUACACAAAGUUUGCACCAAUUCUUUUUGUUUUUAUUAUACUAUUCAAUAUCAAUAGGCAUAUCUCAUGUGAUUUCUUUGGUUGGCAUUACAAUUUUACAUCAAUAAUGCCAUAAUAUCCAAGUUCUUUAGAUUAAUUAUCUCUUGGGUUUUCUUUUUCCUUUCAUUUUUUUUAAUGAUUUUAUGGAAAAGAAUGAAAUAGAAAUCAAACCAAAUGGCAAUGGAAGAAUAUUUGUCACAUUUAUUUUACGCCCUUGCAUCGUCUACCAACGAUAGUUUUUAAUGACAAUGAAUAUUUAUUGAUAGUGAUAAACGGUAGCCUUUCAUAAAAUGUUAACAUAAACUAUAAAAUGUUAAAAGAAAAAUAUACAUUUGAUUGCCCAAAAAAUAUUUGUAAUUAGAGAAAGUAGGGAACAAAAAAAUUAAAAACUUGUAGAGAAUGAGUUAAAAGUAGCCUUUUUCUUGAAGGGAAAAAAGGAUUGAAAAUGAAGUUUUAUGUUGUAGAUUAGAUAUUGGUAGGUAGGGUGUUCCUAACUCUUUUUACCCAAUUUUAAAUGGCUCCAAUUCACUUCCUUUUGAACGUUUAUUGCUUUUUAUUUUUCCUUAAAUGCCAAUACCAAAUACUUGGGCCAUUAAACACACAUAAUCAAUCUUAGCAAAAAAAAAAAAAAAAAAAAAAAAAUCCCAAAUUGACAUAUUAGUUUUCUUGUUAAUGGACUUCUGACGUUGUAUAUGGAAGAAAAUAGUUCAUCUAUUUAUUUUUUAGAUGUUUAACAAUUUUAAAAAUUGAAUGUGUUCCAGAAAAAUACUAAUUACUAACCCUACUUAGAUCUUACAAUAUGAUGUAAUUGGGAUUUAGGAAUAACUUGAUUUAAUCCUAGAUUAAUUACAUUUUUUCUAUUUUAGAAAUGAGUUUCUUUUUGGGUAUCUUUUAGGAUUCUCUCUUGCAUUUAAUUCGUCUUAAAUAGAGAAUCCCAUGUAAUAAUAAAUACUUGAGUGAAUUUUUGGAUAGAAUUCUCAUUUGAUCUCUUCAGGCUAGAUGGAUGUAGAAUCAGACUAGCCGCAUGGACCAAUGUUGACUAUCGCAGUGGAAGAAGAACGUGGGACUCUUAACGACAUUGAUCGCUAGAGAGAGUUUCGUGAGUUAAGAAAACGUUUGAAGUUCCGAUAAAGAAAGAAGAAAGCAAUUUUGAAGGAUAUUGGACUAACACUACUGCUGGUUUAUGAUCGAUUCAGCUUUGUGUUUUUUCAAGGAAGAGGAUAGAUAUGUUGAUUUCCAGAUUCUUUGACACCAAUUUUCAACAUCUUUAAUUUGAUUUGGGAGCUUUGGCAUAUUCAACCCUUUCAUUAAUUCCCUUUUCCCUAUUCCCUAUUUUAGACUAAUUAAUUUCUUUCCUUUCACUUACCAUUUUUAGGAUUCUUUUCCUGUAUUUAAUUUUCAUAAAUAAUAAAGACUUAGAUUGGAUUUGGGAAGACAAUUCUCCUUUCUUCUCUUUAGGCUGCAUUUAAGAUUUAACAGUUAAAUAAAGUUCUACCUAAAUUAGAAUCAUUCACAAUAUUUUGGAGAUUUAAUUGAGACUAUACUAUAAACACUAACAACUUGUUUACAUGUGUUAUUUGCACACAUCUUGUUCUAUGAAUAUGAAUAUUAAAUAUCUAAAAUUUAAAUGUCUAGAAUAAUUUAUAUAUGUGAUUGAAUGUGGAGUAAAACUAAUGUUUAGAAGUUAAAUAUCAAUGUAACCAAUUCCAUAAUUGUAUCAAUUUAAAAUCUCUAUUACAGAUAUUGAUUUGUUCUUCAAUGUUUAGUGUUAAGAUGGGCUGUGCAAGCACUUUCUUUUCGGUACAAUAAAACACGAAUCUGAACUUCCAUCGUAUUUAAGACUUAUCUAAGUUAGUUGCUAUAGGUAAAGUGUAGUAUUUAUGUUUCCUUUUCUUAUACGAUCUUUAAAAUUUGCCUGUUUUUUUAUUUUUCUUUUCUUUUUUUUUGUAAAAAAUAAAAAGGAAUGUGACUUCUCACACCAAUUCUAAAAAGACAAAAACUACUUUCUAAAAACCAUUUUUUCGGUUUACAAAACCCUAUUGAAAAUAGUGUUUAUAAACACCUAUUUUUCAAAAGUCAACAACCACAAACAAAAAACAAUUAGUUAAUAGUUGAUUGAAAAUGCUACAUUUAGUCCUUUAUAAUUUCUACAUUAGGGUCACUAACUAACGACACAAUGAUUUCAAUGAUCCAUUUGAACCACUUUUCAUACCUUAGGAUUCAAACUAUUGAAUAUUUAGACUUAAGAAUUAAAUACAAUUCUUCUUACUCCAAUUUAAUAAGCUAACCUAAAGAAAAGGCAGGUAGGGGCAUAAAUUCAAUAUAGAAAGAGCAAAUCAUUGGGCUCAUCAUUAUAAAAACCUUUUAUUUCCACUUGGUACCUUGAGUUGCAAUCUCCAUUCAACUAUGGCAUUAAUGAUUUCCAAAUUCAUUAAGAUAUUAGUUGCCUUAGGUCAAACAUAGCUUUCUAAAUUUUAUAAUAACUAGCAAAUAGUAAUAAUAAUCGGAAGAUUACCCUUUUGUCUGCCCUACUUGUAUACUACUUGGUGUGGGAUGAAUAGCCUUGUUCAUAUGCCACAGGCACAACUCAUCACCUGAGAUUACCUGAACCUCCAACCUUCGGUUAAUUCUCCAAGUAAAGUCCACACAGUCAUACAGAACCCGUAGAACAAAUCCCGUUCAAGUAAGAUCGUAACCAUAAAGUUCAAUCUACUCCACUGAAAUUUUGUUAUAAUGAGUUUCAGAAAGGUGAGCAAAGUGAAUGAGAGAAUGAAAUGAUGCCUUGAGGAUAUAUUAAACUCAGAAGCAUGUAAGCCAGCUAGCCACAAUAAAGAAAGGAAAAGGGUAGUGGAAGGUGCUCAAUACAACUCUGCUGAAGUAAAUAAGCCUUAGAUCCCAAAGAAUGAGAGAAGUAGGGGAAUGACAUUAUAAUUUGAUCACAAAAAACUAAUAAACUGUUCGUUUCCUAUUGCUCUAUAACUCUAUUUCCAAAGCCACCCCGCUGGAAUCAGGAAGAAUAUAUAAUCAAAUCAUAUAGAGAUCUUUUCGAAAAAUACAUAGUAGAAGAUUAAAGGGGGUGAAACUGACGUUAUAUGCUUGGGACUACACAGAACCUCCCCUGGUGGAUGCUGCUCGACUCUCUUGAGAAAUGGGGAUUCUCAUGAAUCAUCAUCAGAGGGUAAAGUUGGGCUCUUUGUACAGCUUUCUUUAUUGUGAAGUUCCAACAAUUUCUUUUCUGGAUUACAAAGUCCUGAAGAAGAACAAUGAUUUUACAGGAUCAUCAACUUCUACUUUACCAACGCAAACAGAAAAUUUAUACCAUCUAACAAUUCUCAUCCAAUGGUGUAUUGAUUAAUAUUGCAUUGCAAAUAAGCGUAUGGUAAAUCACAGAAUAAAAUGCAUUUAGUAUCAGGCAUCAAAGCCACCUCUCUGAAGUUUAUGAUCGUUAAUAUGUACUUGAAGAAUAAAAAAGAAUAGAGUUAAUAUUUUGAUUAAGGAAGUUCAAGAGUUUUCAAUUUGAAAAGAUCUAUCAUCUCUAAUAUAAGUCAACUCACAAUGGUUAGCACAAGUUGCCGGAUAAUUACAGAAUUGUCCCAAAAAAAAUGUCAAUGUAUGCAUUUGGUCGGCAUGUUUGGAGGUCUCAACCCAGCAGAGAAGCUGCAAAUUUCUUAGCUGGAUAGAAAAAUGUGUUCCAUGUUUUUUUUUAAGAGCAUUUGUGGAUAAACCAUGAAAAAUAAUGUGGGAAAAAAUGUAAGGAGUCGGGCUUGAAUCUGAGUUUAGAGGGGACUGGAGGACAAUUUUACCACUAGGCUAGUUGUUGUUUUUGGUAUUAUUUCAGUUAUAUAUAUAAAAAGCAUAUAUCCGCUGGUGUUGGCAAGGAAUAAGAUUCUUUUACGGGUUGACAGAGGAACAGAAGGUGCUGCUAGUUUGUAAAGGGAGUGGGAUGACUUUUCUUUUGCUGGUUUGAAUUAUAGUCAGAGAGGUUUUUUCUAAAUAACUUUAUAUGGAUAGAGUGUAUCUUAUAAUGGGAGUUUGAGUUUGAAUUUAUCUUGUGUUAUGCUGCGGGAGACAAAACUGUUUUUCUUCAUAACUUACGUAGCUUUUCAUUCUAUCAGUGAGCUGUUCUGUUUCAGAUGUUUAUUAUUAUUAAUGGACAAGAACAAAUUUUUCUUAAUUUAAAAAAAUAUGUUUGAGUACAACAAACACCAACCUGAACACUUGGGAAUAUCCCAUACUGCAAUAGAUGUUGGCGUACAGUCUGGUGCACAAAGUGCUUUUUCAUUCUCAUGAUUAACAUUCAUAGCGAGCAUCCAAGCGCCUAUUGUUACAUCCUCAUUGCUGAACAUCCGGAAACUACAAUUUCAUCAAAUUUUGACACAUUAUAAACAACAGAAAGAUUUCAAAAGAAAACAAGAAACCAAAAUAUCAAUUUGCUCUCUUUUCAAUAUCAUGACUUCCUUUCUCAGUGACAACAACAUAAGCGAGAAUUUCCAUGGGCAGAGAUAUUUAGAGAUCCUAAAUUACGAAUGCCUGUUGUACGUAGCAAAAAUUGCAAACCAACAGAAAAACAAAAAAAGAGAUCAAGGCAAGAAGAUCAAUUUCAACAGCAGUAUAGUUGAUAAAACUUAGAAAGCAAUCAACUCAAAGAUCUCCACGACACAAAUACUACUGACUAGUGAACUUCAUAGUCAGAAUAUUAUAUGUCGAAGAUGGGUAAAAAGAACAAAAUGAAAAAUUUUCAAUUGAAAAUGGGUAACCCUAACACUUAAAGGUCCACAAAAGAUUAAAAGCUUUAAAGAAACAAACUUACCUAUUAUUUUUAAGAGCAACCAAGCUUGCAACAACAUCAGCCGAAAGGAUAUAUAUUGGACCAUAGGCAUGAAAGAAAUACUCAUUUCCAAGCAAAUGGGACAGUGGCUCAUACCUAAAAAAAAUUAAUCAAUAUGGUCAUGUUACUGAUCAAAUAAAAGGGAAGUAAUUAAUAAAAAUCAUCAAAACUCAAACUGAAUCUGGAAUCUGUAGGAUGACAGCUGAUACAAUAUGGUACUGUUGCAUUGUUGUAACCUAUAUUAAUUUUGGUACAUAUGCGCUAUAUAUCUCUUGGAUAAUGAACAUAAACAUAAUAUGGUACUGUUCCCAACUUACCACAACAUUAGCAUAACACAUCAAUAAAUUUUAAAACUACUAAUUUACUUGUAAACUUUUAAAUCUAUAGCAAUUCUGAUCUACUGUUCUCAAAUGGUAGUUAUGAUCAAUCGGAAUAUCAUUUCCCUCUAAUUUCAGUACUUUGUAAUCAUAGUUUGCAGAAUAAGAUCCUCUUAAUCAAACGGCUAAGGCCCUUCCUUCCAGCUGAACAAGAUAAAAUGUGGUAUGGCAUGGUUGUUAGUAUAUAUGCUCAGAUAUAUAUAUUAUAUACAUAUAUUUUAAUAAGCUCAGAUAAAGAUAUAUAGAACACAAAUAAAAUGGUAAGGUUACACGGCAAAGUAGAAAAGAAAGAGAAUCAAACCAUUUCAACUUUGAAUCUGUGAAAACUGGGCCUUUCUUCAUGCAGCCAAUAUAAGUUUGAGAGUGUGAUCGUUCUUUAGCAAGUAGAAGUGAAAGGCGAUCUAGCAAGAUGGAACCAACUGUAUCAAAUCCCAAAAAAUAACAUGGAGAUUAUCUGCAAAUAAUGAAUCCAUUUCAGAGAACAUAGUCACCUGGCCUUAAAUAUAUAUCAUCAUCAGCUUUGACGUAAAAUUCAGAAUCAUAUAGUGCAUAUGCAGCUUUAAAGAACGCUAGCCUGUAAUUUAAGAGUAAAAUAUCAGUCAUUUCAAAACAAAUGGAAUCAAGUUCUCGUUUAAUAAAAUUUUGUUCAUACUAACGUUUUAUAAGGUAGCUUACUAUACUCUUCUUCAAUAUCCAAUAGCAAAAAAUCGUCGUACUCUGCUACCUCCUUUUUGAGUUCCAACAUUUUCGCCUUAUCACUUGUCUUUCCAAUUAUAAACCUGAAGGCCAAGCCAGUGGAUUCUUCCAAACUGGGAGCCACCACUGAUGUCAGUGCAUAAAUUACUGUAAGCACAACUAAUAUGAACCUAAUCAAAUAACAUAUCAUUCCCAGAAAGUUGCAUCCUGCUAAGCCCAUGAAUAUCCAGAGUUACAAAAAAUAAAAAAAAGCAAACAAGAUAGAUUAUCAUCAAUUAAGAUGGCUUUUUUUUUUUGAAAUAGUGUGUGAUAUGUAUUAACUUCAGGGGUACGUAACCUAAUGCCAUUGCCCAAAUCAAGGAAAUGGAAAUACAAGCACAAACAUACAUCCAAUAAGACAUGGCAGGAUCCAGAUCAGUAGAAGCCUAUGAAUACUAGUUCAAAAAGGCAACAUUAGCGAAAAGUAAUUAGAAUCAGGAACAAGAUAGAAAUGAAGGUUACCGUUGAAGUCCUUCCCGAUCAGAAGGCAACCAUGUAUUUCGCAAAGAUCGCCGGCGACCAACAGAUGAAAACCCAGUUUGGAUCCCAACAAAGCCCAUCACUUUAUGGCGCUUCGCAUCACUACCAGUAGUAAGAGCAGCAGAAUCAGGCGCUCUGUCCCAAACGACUCUGACGGUCCUGGGUUGACGGUUGGAGCAAUUGUUACGGAGAUGAGGAGUGAAGAAAGAAGUGAAGACGAAGAUGAAGCCAGAAAUUCCGAUGAGAAGACAAAAGGAGAGAAGGAAGAGGGAGGAUCUGCUUGAGUAGAAUGGAGAAGUGGGGGAAUGGCGAGAGUGAAAAAGCUUGGGCGAGGAAGGCAUGGCGGAAAUCGAAGAAGCCUCCGCUCCGAUUCAGUUGAUGGCCGCUCUCCUCUUUUUACUUGCGGAAGCCAACAUUUUCAUAUUUUCCUUUUCUUUCUUUUUAUUUUCUUUUGGUUUGAGUAAAAUAUAAGUUUUGUAUAUCUCAAAAAUAAGAUAAUUGAGGUCAAAUUGACGAAAUAUUUACACUUUUCAUUACAUUUUUGUGUGUUUCCUUAUUUUUCUAAGUGGUAGAUAACUUGUUUUGAUUCUCAUUUCAUUAAUUGUCAUCCUAUAAAUUGAAUGAAUCUUGGUUCAAUUCAACUUCUAGGUUUCCCUUUUCUUUUUCAAAUAAUUAAUUGUGGUUUUGGUUCAACAAGUAGCUAACUCCAAUUAAAUUGGUUUAAUUUAGAAAUUUUGUUUUAAACAAGUGGAAGAUAUCUAUGAAUAGACCAAAAUAUCUAAACACAAUUGUAGUUUAUGGUGGAAUUUUGUUGAAUUUACACAAAUUUUGUUUUUUUUUUUCUUCUAUAUUUGAAAUGGUUUUCUCAUUCUAGGAGUUACUUUGUUUUUGUUUUAGAUGACUUGUGAAAGUAAAUAAAUUAUGCGUAAAAGUAUUUCGAGGUUUAGAUUUUGUUAUGAAUUUCUUUUUAAUGUCAACUCUCUUCAUAAUACUUAUAAAUAUAUCAAAAUUUUAUAAUUUAUGGUUAAUAGAAAUAUAUCAAUGUUUGUAAAACAUUUAAUAAUGAUGAUUAAUGUGAGUAACCAAACCUCUUUAACUCCGAUUGCUGGUCAAAACUAUUUAUUAAAUGACAAUGAUGGUUCUUAGAACGUUAAAGUAACUAUGAAUUUAGAGUGAAUAAAUGUUAGAUCGUUUUGGUUCAAGUUGACAAGGAAGUAAAUGGUAUCGUAAUUAAUUAUAGAAUAUAAAAGAAAAUAUUAACAAUUGUAACUUCCUACAGGGAAAAAAGAAACAUAAGAUUAUUUGUCUGCAAGGAAAACAGUUUUCUUUAUAUAGGAUCAGAUUUCAUCUUUUUCUUUUUCAUUCAACAAUGGAGUCUGUUUCCAGUCUACACAUACAUACAUACUUGAGACCCUACAUUUAAAAAAAACCAUCUUAACUUGAAACUUAGGUCAUUCUCUAAUUGAGGAAAUUAAUGUUCACUGGACAGCUUUGAAAAAUGGUCCUGCAAACUCAUUUCCCGGACUCCACCUCUUUAAUUCUACUACCCCUCUCUCUCUAAACUUCCACUUUUGCCUUUGCAUUACCUAAGUUAGAACAACAGGUUCUACAAAUCUAGUCAUAGUGGCUCCAUGAACUCCUUCAUCCCAGCUCUUUCCUUCCGAAAGCUGAAUGUCGCGUUCUACGCCAACUUCUACUUUUAACAGCUUUUUUGCCUCCUGGGUGCAGGUUUCGGUUGUGGCACCAACUAUGUCAGUGCAACAGUUUGACUCAACAGGCUUCUGUCCUGGAGAAAUAUCCAAUCCAUUUGAUUCAACCAACUGCAACGUAGAUGAAUCGAUUGGAGGAGCUGGAUCUGCUUCAUGAUCGUCCUUAAUCUUUUCACCAUUGGGUUCUUGUAAUUCUUGAUAUUUUGAACAUUUCAUUUCCAUUCUAGGACAUGGUUCACAGGAAUCGCAUUGCUGUUUCGCAUCGGUGUCAAGUUGUACUCCGGAAUGAAUUCCUGAAUUAGUUAAUCCGUUCAAAUGAAACAAGGCUAUAUCAUCAUUUCCUUCUAUAUUUCUAAAUCAAUAAAAUUACUUUUAAGAGAAAUACCGUUUAAAAGUCAAACAUUAUAGGGAACAAAUGACACUUGCCUACUGUUGUCUCUGUAGUUUGGCCACUUACAUACAGGGCCUUUUUUAGGAGUACUGUUCCGGGAAACACCAUCAAAUUGAACUUGUGAAGACUUUGUUUCUCCUCAUUUUCCACAGUUACAAAGCCAAAACCUUCGGUCCAUGUCUCCACUAAACUAGGAAUUGCAGCUAUCACAAGCUUUUUCACCUUAAAAGACAUCAGCAUCUGGAACACCCACAAAAAUAACGAUGCUAAGAGACUUCGACAGAAAAAUCUACACCAGAUGUACUAAAAAAACGUGUAUAUACAAAAUCCAAAAUUGAAGUGUUGCCACCAAAAUGCAAACUGUCUCUUCGGUGUUAUUUUUUUUUAACAAUAAACAACUUCACAUUGGUAUAAUGACAAGGAAUAAAUGUUAAAGCUUAAAGGGUUACAAACUCCAAAGGGAAAGGGAGUGAAAAUGAAAAUUCAAAAUCACACUCUUAGUUCUUUUUAUAGGAUUCUCUCUCUUAGUUAUUAAAACUGGGGUUAGACAUCUAAACCGUAGAGUAGUUCUUUGGAUCUUUUAUAUAGAAUGAUUAGUGAGUUAUGUAACUCUCUCUUUCACUUCAUUGCAUUUUCCUUUCAGUAAUAAACGUUGAACUUGCUUUAUGUAGAAAAUAUGAUGAAUAAAAAGUAAAACUAUUAACAAGUUUCACGGCAAGGCAUGGAAAAAUACCUCCUCUAUUGCAUUCAGUAGACGCCUACACAUUCCCUGGCGCCGAUAUUUACUACAAGUUGCAAUAAGGGGCAUCUCAGCCAGUUCUGAUCCAUGUACCCUACAGCAAGAAAGUUUGAAUAAACAUGGAAAAUGCCAACUCAAAUAAUUGUAAUAGGUCAUAAACAGUUGGAACCAUCUAAAAUAUAAUAUAUCUUAAAGGAAAUAUUCUUCAAAUUCAUCAGACCUAGAAUCUUGACAUCAGAACGUUUGGUAACAUGGGACAAAAGUUGACAAAAUGGUCCAUAUUUGCUUAUAAUUGUUGUAAAUAAUAUGAUCCGUUCAAUCUGUUAGUCACAUAUUUCUAUUUGGACAGGGAAACGUUUUAAACUCAAUAUGGACACGUCAAUAGGCCAAGACAAACAAGUUUUAAUUUAAAAUGUCCUUUUGGUCCUUGUACUCUAAACUCCAUUCUAUUCUAGUCCCUGUCCCUCAAAUGUCCAAAGCUAGUCACUUUACUUCCAAUAAAUCUUAAAUUUAGUCUUUCAAAACUUAAGGAAGGGAGUUCUGAGGGACUAUCUUUAUUUGAAAAGAAUCAACCAUAAACAAAGAACAUGGGCUUUCUUAAGGAUUUAUUGGAAGUACAAGAACAUUGACAUUUGAAAGUACAUGAAGUGAAACCCAGAGGAUGAAACAUUAGCACAAGGAAUAAUUAAGGAUACCUGAUAGAAGCUACACAUAGCAGCACAUCAUCUUUCUCAAGUAUCACAGUGUAGAAUCCAUGAAAGUCCAGACGAGGAAAACUAGACCUGCACGUCACAUCAGAGAACAGAAAGAAUUUGAUAAAUGAUUCUGUGAAAGAUUUAAGAGAAAAUAGAUUUGAAGGAACAGGUAAGAAUAGCUUUUUAUGAGACAACGUAUUAUGGUGGAAAUAGUGACCAAGCCAACAAAAAAUGAGAAUAGAAAGAUGAUGACAGUAAAAGAUAUUGGAGCUCAAACUUCAGUGCCUCUAGUUCAAGCUAAUAUGAAAAAUUUCCAACUUUUCAAGAGGGUUCAUGUUUUCAGAAAAGAAAACUCAAUUGUAUUAAAGCCCAUCAAAACUACCCUCCCAAGUCGCAAAAAAAAUAACCCUCAUUCCAAACCACUUGAUUACAUUUAAAUUUAUAACAUCAAUGGUAUUGUUUAUUUCAGUAAUUGUCAGCUUAUUUAUAAAAAAGGAUGCAGUUGCCUGUUCAGCAACUUUCUUUUGUUGAGUGGACGGGGUCUGUCUUUCAUUUAAUUUUUAUGCAUUAAUUUUAGUUAUUUAUUUAUUUUAUUUUCUUCUAUGAUGCAGAGUCUGCCUUGCAAUUAUCUUGGCAUUCCUCUGGGAGGAAAAUCUAAGGGUGGCACUUCAUGGGGUGUUCCUGAAUUGAAUCAAGGCCAAAAUGGCAAAAUAAAGAAACGUUACAAUUCCUAAAGGAGGCGACUCCCAUCACGUCAAUUAGUUCUACCUUACUAUUUCUCUCUUGCUAAAGUCCCUACAAAUUUCUUGAUCCCAAGGAUUGUAUUGACUUCGUUUGGAAUGGUGCUUUAGCUGUUAAAGGCGGCUGUUGUUUCCUCUAGUUUCAGGCGGUCAUGGAAUCAAAUCAUUGAAAGAAGGGAAAGAUGUCCUCCUUGCAUGCUUUGGAGGUUCAUUCGCAGUCAAAAGGCUCUUUGGACACAGGUGACAGAAAGUAAAUGAUUUCUCACGGUGCUCCAUUCAAAAUGAAAGCCAAAACAAUUCUAAAAAAUAUGAGAAAACCUGUUUUGGAAAUUUUCGCUUGAAUGAAAUGCAGGAUCUUUUAAGGCAAAUUUAGUUUUUCAAAUUUUGGGGAAUUUUUCAAACCUAAUGCAGCUCUUUGGGUUCAAAUUAUUCUGAAAUUACACACCCUCCUGGUUACUAAAUAUUGAUGAGAAGAGAUACUCUUGUGACCUCCUUUGGUUUAUGUAGGUUGGAGGAUGUAUCAUCUUCUAUCAUUGUGUUUUACAUUUUGAUUAUAAAAUUAAGUUUCCUAUCAAUGAAAGAAAAAACAAAUUAGUUUCUUACCUCCACUGGGAGUAGGUACUCUUAUGAAUUCCUUCAGUUUUUGGGUCAAGAGGAUGUAUCAUUUUCUCUCGUAUUUCCAUUUUGAUUACAAUAGGUACGUUACUGAAAAAGAAAAAGAAACAAAUGAAGAAGGUACUUACUUCCAGCUGUACACCAGAUGUGGUAUCAUAUCAAUUCCUGUUCUUGGAUCUACCAUGGACAAAAAGCAUUCCUCCAUAAUGGUAAGAGCCACUACUAAUCUGGAAUUGCAUUCUGCCAUCAUAGCUAACCGUGCCGUAGACAGAAUUUUCUGGUCGUAAUGAAUGCAUCUAAGAAGUGUCCAUGAAAACCCAUUUGCAAACUGAUUAGUCAAUCCAAGUUGUGAUUGAAGAGCUGCAUAAAUCUGCACACAACAAAUAGUCACAAUAAGAACACUUUAAAGAAGACACAGUACACCUGCAUUACAUAGGUCACCAACAUCAAUCAUAUGAUCUACAAGCUAACUAAUGUCAAAAUCAAAGACAUGUCAUCUAUGACGAAUACGGGCGAUAGAAAAUGUUUUUUAUUUGAUAUAUCAUUGUUUUUUUUUCUUUUUUGAGAUCUUUUUUAAUUGACAUCUGAAAUUUUGAAGGCAUCAUGAAUUCCAUUUUUCACCAAAUCCACAAAUCUGUCAUCCAUAAUAGAAAUAAUGGAGACAAGAACUGAGCAAAAAUACCUUCUGACAACUACCGCUGCAAAACCAAAUAUGAGACUCUACUCCAGAAUCGAUGUCUCUUUGUUUCAGGCAUUGUCCAUGAUCUGUUUCAACAACUAUUUGUUAGAAGGAUGACAUACCUCAUUUUCAGGGGUUCACUCAUAAGAAGUUGAACUCAAAUAGAAAGGGGGAAAAAUCCUCCUCAAGAUGACAACAAUUGAAGUAUACCAAAUGAGAGAAUUUUAUUAUUAAUGUUUAAAAGUUGUGAAUACAAAAAGACAAGUACUAUUUAUAAUUGAAAAGCAAACUAAUCUGAAUCCUAAUUAACCAAAUAAACUAAUUCUAAUCCUAAUAAGCUAAAGAAAUCAAUCCUCAUCCUAAUAAAAUAAGGAUUUGAACAUAAUACCCUAUUCGGCUAUUCCUACAACAUCAACAACCGAAUCACUGAUUAGACAGCAAGUAUACCAUGUUGGCACAACAAGGAAAUUAAAUGGUUUUCCUUUUAGUUCCAUCUGAAAAGGUUUUGCAAAAUUCAACCGCUUGGUCCUUUUAGUACAUAUCUUUCUAUUAUUCUACUUAUUCAAUUUAUUUCUUCAAUACAAUAUAAUAUAUAUAGAGGAGAGGGAGGGGGGUAGAGGCAGUAAAUAAUUGAGAACAAAAAAGUGCUUAUGCAGAAAUUACUUAUAAACUCCUAUUUUGUCAUGUAUUUCAUUGCGCCUGUAUUAAAAAAACAUACAAUUGCACUGUUCUAGACAAGUAACCUUGAAUCAAAUUUGUAUGAUAAAAGGACUAUAGGGACCCGUACGCAAACUAAAUUAACUACAGAGUGGUAAAUUCAUGCAGCAAUUUUAUCCUUCUUGCAGUUCUUUUGAGAUAUGUGACUAACUAUAUAUAUGAGGAUUUUAAAUACAGAGCUCCAAAACAGAAAAUUUGAAGGUGGAGAUUUCAGACACUUUCACCUCAAAAUAUUUGGUUUCCUACCUUUAUAAUUGCACAAAAACUUAGAAUACUUCUGUGGGCUAGAUUUAGAAUUACUAUUAAAAAAAAAAGCAAUCAAAUCCUUUGUUUGGUCCUAAACUUCGGGAGGGGGGUUAAUAAUUAAGAAAAAGGUACAAUUAGGAUACCCGUGUGUGUAUAGGAUACCAAGUUAUGGUUUUAUAACCAGAAGCAAUGAGAAGUUCUCGAAGCAUUUGUUAUUCACUUGUCUAUUACUAUGGAAUUAUUGAUGCAGUUUUUUAAAUAUGUGGUUGGCCUCUAGUAAUCCAAAUUAUGUCAAAGAUUGUUCUUGCGCUCAUUGUGCAGUCACCGUUCACAGAAAAACCAAAAACCUUUUGGCUCAAUCCAAUUAGAGAUUUUCAGGGAAAUCGGUUCAUGAGAAACAGCAUUGGUCACGGAAUUUUUGGUUCCAAAAGUAGUCACUUAUGUAUAUAGGAUUUAAACUACGGUACUUGCAGUUCCUCUGCAUUUUGUUUGCCUCCUCCUUGCAGAAGGAAAUGUGUAUGCUACCCUACAAUAAACAAAUGUCAGCUUUCAAAAAUGAAGAAUCCAGUCUUAGGGUACUUCUCAUAGAAUUUCUCAAAUCAGCAUGCAAGUUGUUCACUUUAAAAAAUAUAAAGGGAAGAAUUUAAUCAGAUGCAAUAAGCCCUUUUUUUAUAUAGCAAAAAUAAAAAUAACAAUUCUAGGUAGGCAUAGGAAUUACACUUUUGUUCGCACUGAAAACAUUUUAGCGCAUCAGAAGAACUUGAAAUCUCUUCAAAAUUCACCAAAUCACCACAUAUCCGGCAAGUACAGUUUAAGCAAUACCAGUUGCCUUCAGGGAGUUCCUAAAGAAUUUCAAUAGUAAUAGACAUUUAGUUAAUUGUAGAGAACUGGAAACUAAACUAUAAAAUAAAAAAAAUAAAAAAAACACCCUGCAAUUCUCCCAACAAAAUCAACCAAGAAAAGAUCUAUAGUGAGAUUCUUACACAUGGAAGGAAAUACGAAGCAUGAUUUAUUGUUUUCUAGCUAAUGCAUACAAAGUUUAAAUCCAAAUAAAUUGCUAAGAAAAAUAGGCAUACAGUUGAAUGGCAAUCAGCAUAUUCUUUUAACACCAUGUCAAGUCAACAUCAGCCUGCUCCCAAAAACGAAUAAAGUAUCAACUAAGUUAACAGCACUAUUGGUCAUGCUAUAUGACCAUGUUUGCAAUUUAAACCCAGUUAAUAGAACCUUUGGUUCUUGUCCUCCAUUCUUUAUAUCAAUGAAAUUGAUUUUGAAGGUGAAUAUGACAUUAAUUAAACAGAAAUUGAAGUUCUUUACCCUAAUGAUUCUUUAACUGAUGCUUUUGAAAAUUUAUUCUUGGUUGAUGUCCAAGAUUAUUUGGUUGAAUAUCAUCAAUCUUUAUUCAUCAGUUGCAAAGACCAGUUCAGUUACUCCCAAGUUUUCAUCAUUAAUAAUCCAGAUGAAAGAAAUUCAAUCUGUUUCUCAAGUUGGGAUUUAAUCUUGAUAUUACAUUUAUUGAGUUCUUAAAAGAUUUCAAAAGUGGAUGGCUUUUUUUCUUCACUAUCAGUAAAAUUUUUAUUUUGCAGGCAUGGGAUUUUUAUUUGAUUAUCUACGAUUUCAAAUCCAGUUUGCCCAUUUCCUGAUUAUCUUUUUGAUUUGACAAUAGGUGGAUUAUUUUCCUGCUUGAUAUUUCUUCUGGAAAGUACCUUGUUUUAGUAUUCAUACAUUGAAGUAGAGGAGAUCUAUAACAAUUAUAACUCCAAAUGGAGUUAAUACUGCUGAUCGUCUCCAGCAUCAUUUGCCAUAAAUGACUCUCAAUUGUGGUGUUAUAUGUGUCAGGACCACGCUGAAUCCUCUAUUCAUUUGUUUACAGAUUGUUCUUUUUUUUUUCUUUUUUUAUAAGAAACAAUUUCAUUUUUUUUGAUAAGAGACAAGUAUAUUCAUAUAACAAAACAGAACAACCUAAGGGCGAGGGAUGAGAGGGCCCUCCCCGGAAGAAGCUAAGGAACUAAGACAUAAUGGCCUUCCAAUUGUUGAAAAUCAUAGAAAGGCUAUAAUUACAAAAGUGUUUGGUGUAAUUCGUACUCCACCAAGAGGGGGAGAAACAAUUUCAUUAACAAAUGAAAUUACGAGAAAAGAGGGGGAGAAAGGUCCAAAAGCUACAAUUACAGAUUACAGAUUACAUCUCCAAUUAACUAACAAAGAAGCAAAACUAUAUGACUUAAAGGCAGCUGAGAGUUUGCACCAAGCAAUAGCAUUGCAGACAACAUGAUAAAAAAAAAGGUCCAAAGAACUGAAUUUUGUUGUUAAAGACCCGAUUGUUGCGUUCAAGCCAAAGCUACCAUAGAGUAACUAUAACCAUGUGAUUCCAAAGUAAUCCCUUUUUGUCCUUGAAAGGAUGAUUUUUUAGCAUAGUAGACAAGAAGAGAGUAAUGUCCAUAUGAAAGACAACAAACCAAUUGAAAGCAGGUAAAAUGUGAUCCCAACAACCUUUGUGAAGGGACAAAAGAUGAAAAGAUGACUGAGUUUCUGAAUUUUGUUGACAGGGGGUGCACCAGCCUGAGGAUAAUAAGGUUGAGAGUAGUCGACGCUGAAGCCAAUCAUGUGUUAGGACAGCUUGCUGAGUAAGUUCCCAAAGGAAAAAGUUGAUCUUUUUUGGGUACUGUUCCGACCAUAUGGCAGAGGAGCGGUUAUUAAUUAUAUAUUACUAGCACUCCCCACUUACUUGUGGACUUGAAAUAUUUGAAAGGCCCAACAUAUGGGUAUCAAUUUUAAUUGGGGAGAAAACAACAAUGCAGGGGCUUGAACACAAAACCUCCUGCUCUGAUACAAUCUUAAAUCACCAAUUGACCCAAAGCUUAAGCUAGUGGUUGAAGCCAAAUUUAAUUAUAUAUCACUAACAAACCUCUAUUAUUUUCUCAACCCUUAUUGAAGCUUCAAAGAGAUCUAGUCACUUUAAUGUCUUUUUGGCAAUUUCAAGGAACCCACCACAAGCUUCUCCAAUGAACAUUAGCGUGUCAUUAUCCCAUCGAUCAAGUGGGAGGUUCCUAAUUUUGAUCCAACCUCCAUAGCUAGGGACAGUUGAUCUUUCGUUGCAUUUUCGGAACUCCAAGGGGAGAAUUGUACCAAAUAUCUUCCUACCUUAUACCAAUCCUUGAUCUAAGGGUUUUGGCUUGGUCAAUGUCCUCACAGCAUAGGACAGCUUUGUCAAUGCUGAAAGGAUUGAUGAUACAGGCACUACUCAUAUGAAUGUUGAAAGCUCUUAUCAUGUUGCACCAAUUGUCGUGGAAGCAGCAUCUCUUAAUGAUAACUGAACUGUUAAAGUGAAUGGAGGAAUGCGGAUAUGCAUGGAUUGAUUUAUUGAUGGAUGUGAGAGAUGGAGCCUUUGGUGUGGUUGAUGAAUCCACAAAUUCUGGAGAGGGUGAACAGAUAUGGCAAGUUUCCUUCUUAAUAGCAGCAACGUAUGAAGUACUGUGGUUGGCCUUUUGUGUUGGGGAUUGUCUUUUUCCUCUCCUUUUGGAUCUGGCUUUCAGGAAUCAAAGACAAAAGGGAAAGAUAUAUGUUUCCCAUCCUUUUCUAUCUUCUCCAAUCGGAACAAGGAUUCUAUUUGAUCCACUAUUUACAUUUUGCAAUGUGAUUUCCAUCAACUUUCCUUUUCAGUUGAGAAUUGUUUUCAACCCAGAUUGUUUGGUCAUCCAGGCAAACCUCCUUUAAGAAUUUAUGAUUUAUGGGGGACGAUAGAGGGAUCAAAUAGACUGCUUGGGCCAGGCCAACGCCUGCUGGUGAAUGGAAAUGAAGUAAGCAUGGUCUAGUGUAUUCUGGGUGGGUUGUAUCGGUCAUCAUAGUCGAUGGAGAAUGUCUUUCUCUCUAUUGUUGCCGAUCGUGGAUCCGCAGAGCGAUGGUUGAUGGGUUGUGAGGAGAUAACUAUCUUAGUCAUAUGGUUGUCGGAGGGAGAGGAAAGAAAGAGAGAAGUUAUUGGUACUCAUUUAUUCUAUAUACCACUACCACAAAAUUAUUAUAUCCCGUUUAUGCAUUGUUCUUUUGCAUCCUGUUUCUGGCAUUUUAUUUUGGAUGGUCCUUCACCUGCUCUAAUCAUAUUUUUUACAUCCUUGCUUCUCUUUUGGUGGGUCGUCCUUUUAUAGGCACAAAGAAUGGUUUAUUAUUCUUUGAGCUUUCUUUUGGACUUUGUGGGCCGAGUGCACAAGCAUCUCUUUAGACUUUAGUGACUCUUUUUUUGUUUUGAUUCUAUUAUUGAUUUGGUUCUGUCUACAGCUUUUAUUGGUGCAAGAUUGAGCACCUUUUUAAGAACUUAAGACUUUCUUAUUUAGUUUCUAAUUGGAAAUCUUGUGUAAUAACCUUUGGGUGCUUCAGAUCUUCCCUUAUUAUUUCAUUUAUUGAUGAAAUAUUUCUACUUCUAAAAAAAGUAGGGGAGAAAUCGGUUUUUAGUUGUUGGCUUCUUCUCUGUUAUCUCCUCAGCAUUUUGGCCAUUGAAUAGUCCUUCCCUCUUUUCAAUGUUCUCUUGUGGUUCUUGCUAUUUGGCUAAAUUUAUGUUCUGCGUAUGAUUCGGCUUGGUUCAUUUGUUAGCCCUUUCUUGGUGUGCUCUUUCCUAUCUCCUUGUUGGACAUUCUUUUCAAGUUCGAUGCCACAUUUGGUUUUGUGUUUAUUCCUUCAUUUGUAAUUUUUUUGCUCCCUUGUAGAGCUUGCUUCUUGCACAGGAGGGGAGGGAAAAAAACAAUCUACAACUGCUGCUCAUAUCUACCCCAAUAAUGGCGGUUUUUGCUCUUUUAAGUGUGCCUAGUAAGAGUAAGAUUGAAUCUGUGUAUCUAAGAACAUGAACUAGCUUGGAUGGUAAAAAAAUAUCAUGUGUAAUAGUUACAAGUCGGUUCAACAAUAUAAAACAGACUGAAUCGUUCAACAUUGGAGGUGUGUUCCAUCCUCUGUUUAGAGAUGAUCAAAGAGCCUUGCAGAGGGCAGAGUUCGUAUUGAACAACUGGCUCAAGAUAAAUAAAAAGAACUUUACAGAGGUGGAGAAUCCUCGGUGGGUGUAUAAGGUUAGGGUCUAAAUUUUUCCUUCAAAUGUUUGUAACCUAAGAAUUUCGUAAUUAUCCUUUGUUUCUUAUCCUUCGCUUUCUAUAACUUUUCGCUUUUGAAAAUGUUUAAAUUGAUAUGGAAAUCCAUAGCUCUAUAAUCAAUAAAAUUUAUACAUACUAGAGAAUUUUUUUUAACCAAAGUUUACUGCAAAAUACAAAUACGCUGUUACCACAAAAGAAACUCUCAAUCUAUUAGCAAAUCCCCGAAAGAGAACCUGCACAGUGGCUUUACAUCUACUUAGAAUUCCCUCCUACAGUUCACUAUGGAGAUAUGAUGCCAUUUACCUGAGAACAGUCACCUAGUAAGCUAACAAAUUUCAAGAAGCUUGCACCAGAAUUUUGAUUUCUAGCGUAUUAAAGGACUAAGAAAAAUGAAUAUAACCAUAUUGAACACGAGAAAACCUAAAGUAGUCUAGAAAAAUUAGUACAAGUAUUGCAGAUCACUAGCAUGCAGUAAGAAGACAAAAGAUUCAUCAUCAAAUUGCCACAAAUUGAAGAGACAAACCUGAAUUGACAAACAAGAAUGAUGGAAUGUAGAGGGGCAAUUAUCACAGCAUAUUAGUUCUCCACCAUCACCACAAAUACCACACGAAUCAUCAUUUCGAUCAUCUUCAUCAACUUCCACUGUUCUGGUCUUACUUUUCCUUGUCUUAUAUUCAGUUGACCAGGCCUGAAGCUGGCACAACAUGAAAGGCCUCCCAGAGUCCAAAAAAAGAUUCGAGCAAGCACGAUUAAAUUUGAAACCUGCAUGGCUUUUAAAUUCAGAUAUUGAGAGUAUAUCACUGCAGCAAUUGCAAAUGAUGCCAUCUCCAGUGAUUCUACCAUAUUUAACUACACUACCAUCCUUGGGGCUUUGGUAUUGGAUUAUAUCAUUUGAGGAUAUAACCCCAGCAUCUAGCAACCAUGACAACACUGUUCUAGCCCCUAGGGCAUACCACUUGCCAUCUUUAUAAUUCUUUUCCCCACUACCCAAGCUUCUUAGGAGUAACUUACAACUACUCUUUUGACUUUUGCGGUUCAUUUUCGCUCUAGAUUUGAAGUAUUUUCUUACAUGGGAAAAUCCAGCAGCACUUGAACUGACGUCUUUGUUUCUAAUAAUGGCUGAAACUAAUAGAUCAUCAUCUUCAAUUUGACAUUCAUUCAGUUUCUUCUUUCUGGUUUUUGAACCUUUAUGACUGUCAAAAUUCUUUUUGAGUUUUGAACCUUUCCUCUCAGAGUGGCAUGAGAUAGGACUGAGAGACAAGUUCUUCUCAUGACUGUCCACAUUUUUAGUAUCGGCUAUAUGGGACUUCUGAUCUUCUAUCAUAUCUAACUGAGAGCAAGUCCCAUCAAUAUCCCAAAACUCAGUUUUAUUUCCAGGAGCCACACUCACAAUAUCAAUCUGAGGUGGCAAGGUAGGUUUAAUUUCAGAUAUCUUUUUACACUUCCGGCGCCCUUUCUUCUUCAAAAUAGAAUGUAUGGCAGAAACUUUAUCCUCUGUUUUGAACAUUGAAGCUGAAAAGUGCAGCCCACCUUCUUCAUUUUGUGAAGACUUCUGUACAACCCCUGAGGCACAAGAAUGAGAUAGACCGUCACUUGUAUAGUUUGGACAGUCGUUCAGAGAUUCUUCCAAAUUAUUUUCUGCUUUACCGAGUGGGACUUCCAGUUUUUUUCCUUCCACUAGGGAACAUGUUAGUACAUUUUUCAUCAUUUCAUUAGGGUUCUCAACAUGAUUUUCAGAGCUCUGUUCAUCUGAACAAUACAAAGUGCUAUCCUCAUCAGGAGAUGCAAGGCCAGAAAUUCUGACAACGUUAUCUGAAUUUCCAGAUGGAACGGGACCAUCACCCAGACAUCUAGGUUUGCAGGUGGAACGUGAAAAAUAAGCGGGUGAUGAAGUUAAAUCCUCAGACUCUAUUUUGUUCCCAGGUUCAUUAAAAUGACUGCCCGUGCAAUUCAGACCAUUCUCCAAAUUGGGGCCAUAAUUAGAGACCCUUGUCGGAAAUUUUGUUGUUCCAUCUUCUGUGUGCCCGUAGUAAUUGGAGAAACUUGUAUCACAGGUUUGCUCAUCAAAAGCACAAUUGCCCUCGUCAAGAUCUUUUAGUGGGGCCUCUGUCAAUGCACUCUUGGCAGAGGGUGAAUUAUCAUGUACUGGUGAUGCAUUUUUGUCAGCAGACAGCUUACGAAAACCAUUGUCUUCAUUUAUUAAUGUCACAAAACCAUCGGUCUUACUGCUCCCAUUAAUCCCAACACUACAGGUAGCUCUAACUAAAUCUCCCCUCCUAAGUGGACCAAUCUUUCUGUCGAUGAACACAACCACCACAUAGGGGUCAAGAAUAACCCAACAAUUAGCCAAUGAAGUUGUGGCCCCUAAUUGAUUCAUUUCCUUCCCAAUGUGUAACAAUGUGUCAGAAAGAUCAAAUAAGAAUUGAUGAAUCCCAGUCCAUUCUUUGCUUUCAACAUCCUUUACAAAACUACAUCUAUCAGCAAAUAGAAGUUCGCCACAGAACCUCCAAGCCUUGGAAAAUUCACGAAAGGCUCUUCCCUGGGGUGAUCUGUAAACUGUUUCCAUAUAACGCCUGCAAGGUCUUUUGACCCUUUCAAUAGACCAUCCAGCUGCAAUAAAUAGGUGAACAACAUGAUAGUGGAGAAGAGGACGGGGAUCCCUACUCAAAUCUGUCUUCAAGGAAGCAUCCAGUUCUGGGCAUAGAGAUUUCAUUUGUCCUACCUCCAGAUGUAGUGGAGAUCUAAACUUCUCGCUGAUUUUAUCAGAAGGAUUUGCUACCAACAGCCUGGUCAUGGAGCUCUCUUGGGAAACAGGUGAAGCACUAACUUUAUUCACCAUAUUGGGUUCACCAUGACCUUCUAAAUUCAAUGAUGUCUGUUUGACGGCAUCAGGAUCAGCCAAAUUACUGUCCAUUUCUACAAGGUCCCUUAGCCGAUAGCAACUUGAGAUAAUUCCCUGUCUAGACGAUUCUACAAUGUGGAAUGUAAAUGAUUCAGGGUCACAUUCCUCGGCUGGAGAGCAAUUAGCAGAAACAGGUUCUCUUAUACUAUCUGAUGAUUGUUUAAGCUUAACUAGAUUAGGUACAGAAUCAGAAGCUUCAUCAGUUGAAACUUUAAUUCGCUUGCCACUUGCAUUCCCAUCGUCACCUUCCACUGAAAUCCUUUUGCAUGGAAGACUAUUAGAUGCAGAACCGGUCCUAAUAUUCUCAGUAGCAUUGUAACAUUCAUCAAGCUUCAUAUUUCUUGAGUAUGAAUAAAUGGAGACUGCUGAGGGUUCACUACUUGAACAUAAAGAUGCAUCAUUAAUUUUGCAGGGCCCGUGUUCAUAACCAAAUGCCUUGUGAGGACACCUCUUAUUGGAAUGGCUAGAACCAUUCCCAAAGAAAACCUCCCUAAAAAUAAUUUCUUCGUUUGCAGAUCCCUCAAAGCCAUCAUCCUGGAAAUCCAUAACGACGGAUCAGAAACCUUCUAAAGCUACCAACCCUUCACUUAUCCACCUUACACAUAUACUACUUCAUAAGGCAAGACCUGCAACAUAAGAAAUCAAACAUUACUUUUGAUUUUGGGCAUUUAGAAAAAUAAGAAUUUUUACUUAAAUUGGCUCCAAAUGAAAGAACACAAAUUGCAUAACAUUACACAUUGGAUGUGGAUAAAAUAUAUUGAAAGCAUAUGGCUGUUAACAUUAUACAUGGAGGGAUAGUUUAAGUAGCCACCGGUAGAAAGUAACAAAAUGUGAUAUGCGUUCUUAUAAAUUAGGAUAGCACAAGGAACAAAUGUGAUAAAGUACUCUAAAAUCAGCAAGAGAAAAUGUUUCUUUGCCAAUUAUUUAUCAUUCACUAAAUACUAAAUAAUAAAAAGAUGAGUCAAAUGAGCAUAGCUCAACUAAUAUAGUGCUCAUACAAUCAACCAACCUAGGAGUUAGAGGUUUGAGUCCCCACCCCACAUAUUGUCAAAAAUAAAUAAUAAGAAGAAAGAUUAAGUCCUAUAAACAAAAUGAGUGGUACGUAUGUAUACACAGAGAAAUAGGCAUAAAAGAAUUUGAUGAACUAAAAAUUCCUCUCAACUCCUACGCCACAGAAGCCUUGAGAAGAAAAUUGAAAUUCCAAACUACUUCAAACUCGAUAUGCUGUUAGCACCACUUUUAUUUCCACUUCAAUGAACUACAAAUAAAGCCAGCCAUGAAAGUCUACUGAUACCGGCACUUGCAUACUCUGACAUUUUUGUAAACCUUUCAUCAAUUACAUCCAUGAUCCAACAAUCUAUGUUGUUUGUUUUGAUAAUUGAUGAGAAACGAAAACAUAAAAGAAUGACUGCCAAGCUGAAAGUAAUUCUCUCGGAUGCUUUGCUCUUACUUUUUUGGAAAAUAAUUCUUCGGAUUUCCUUCUUCCUAUGGUUUAAAACAAAUGACCAGGUAAGCUCAAAGGGAAGGGGCGACUUCUCCUCUCUUCGUCCAUAAAUCUCACAAGCUUGUUAAGAAAUGGGCGUUUGUACAUUCUCAUUUUAAUUGUCCACGGAAACGCCAAUUUCUUACAUUAGCCUGCCCGUAUUUCUCUUCCCUGGAGGCAGAAGCAAAGAACUGAGACGAAAAAGCGGUUGCUCAAGCCCUUCAAGCAGUUUCUGCCAACACCCUACAUUCUUCAACACUCGGCAUUUCAAAUAGAAUAGAUGAUAAAACGAAACAAACAUGCAUGAGCUUCCCAUUUCCAAUAGGUCCUCAUGUCAAAUUCUCUAUUCUAAAUCCAAGAAACUAACUCAUAAGCCAUUCAACUACAUUACCAGUUUCCAGAAAUCUAACAAGCGAGAAGAAGAAGACAAAAUUUUAAAAACCCCAUUCAUACCCAUUUGCAGAAAUCUCAUAAGGCCAAUUGUCAGAACCCGAAUGAAUCUCGUAUCUCCCCUCAAUUCAACUCCAUCAAACAGAACAAAAAAACCCCCGCAUUCAUCCAUUUCUAGCCAAAUCGAAAAGGCAAACAACAAAGAAAAAAGAAAAAACCAACAAACCCACAAUAAAAACACCUCAACUAGACAGUGCAUUCGCCAUCAACAUGCAGCUGGAAUCAAGAAUCACAAGAUGAAUUAGGGUUAAGAGACUAGAAAAUGGUAAUGGGUACAUCACCGAUUUGAAGAAAAAUCCAAAGGGAAAAUUAAAACAGCGUUUUCCCUUGGCAUCAUCAUCCAGUAAGUUCUUCAGGGUUGGUCACCAAGCCAAGAAAGCAAGAUAGCUUUGAGAAAGGGAACAGUUCCCUCAAGUACAACAAAUGGCAAAACCCAUCUACAAGUACUCGCCUUUUCUCUCACCAAAACCGUUUCUUCUCGCCCCUUUUUCUCUUUCUCUUUCCCUUUCCCCACUCGGGUUUUCCCCCAUUUUUGAGUCACGACCCACUCUGCCAUCCCCCAUUUUUUGGGAUUAUUUUUAUAAACCCUAAAGCUUUUGAUUUCAUUUUCAUUCACACUGCAAUUCAUUGGAUUGUAAUGAGGAGGGAGAAUCCAUUAACAAAACCCAUUUCUCCAUUUUGUAAAAUUUGUAAUGAUUUUGGUUUUGCAUCAAAUGGAUAAGCUUUGGACAUACCCCAUUUUUUUGCUUUUGCAUUUCAGUUCAUUUCUUUUUGUUUGUUUUGUUUCCUUUUUUGGUUUUUGAUUUUUUCAUUAUAAAUCCAACUUAGUGUAUUUAGCAAAAUUGUUGGAAGUAAUUCCGCUCCAUUUUUUUUUUUAAUUUCAUUUAUUGAUCCUAUAACAAUUUUAUUUUUCAAAAGUGAUGUAAGAUUUGUGCCUUUUUUUCUUUAUUUAUUAUAUAUCUUUCUCACCUAAGAACAUUUUGUUGUAAUUAAGUUGAAAAUUGACUCUUAAUUAUUGAAAAAAGGAUGAUGCUUUUAAGUGAGAGAAUAAAAGCUAUUGAUGUUUAAAAUAAUAUAUUUGCACUUUUUGUAGUUUUGUUACUAAGUAAUUGUUUUAGUAUAUUCCAAAAAGAAAACAUUUAUUUAGUCAAGUUUUGAAGCUCUUUUCAUAUUUCAUUUUAAUAUGUGAUGUAUGUAUUCAUAUUUUUGUGACAUAUGUCCCCAAACAGAUAGUGAAAAUGGGUAUAGAAAUUUGAAAAACGUGCCUCUUGAAAAGACAGCGGUAAAUAAGUGAUAUUAGAUGAAGAUUACAAUUAUAUCCUUUUAGUUUUAAGACUAUAAAUUCAAGUUCUACAUUUUUUUAAAUCCUUAAAAUCAAUUUUCUCAUUCUUCAAAACAUACUCAAAAUUAUAUUUAGUUUUCAAUCUUACAUUAUAUAUUAUUACAAUUUGUACAAUAACGUGAAUAUGAAUGUCCAAUUUUAAUGCUUAUAUAUAGGUAAAAGUUUUAAGACUUUGAAAACGAUAAAAAUGAUUAUAGUCAUUUUAAAACAACUCUUAAGCAUGAUUUUAAAAUUUGACCUAAACCUCAUAUAUUAUUACAAUUUGUACAAUAGUGUAAGUACGAGUGUCUAGUUUUAACACUUACAUAUAAUUUUAACUACCAUCCUAUCUUAAGAUUAAUUUUUUGUAAUUUGUCUAAAUAAAAAUAAACAAUAUAGAAAUUAAGUGUAUGGGAGACUAUGAUCCAUAAAUCCAGUUGGAUGAAAACUACACUUUUAUUUUAGACUAGGGAUUGGAAAAUGGGAAUUGGGUUGGAGUUUUUUACUUGAAACCAUUGAAAGGUUGAAAAGUUAAAUGAACCUUAAUUAAAUAAGGUAAGAAUUAGUUGCAUUUAUAUUUGUUAUCUCAUUUUCAUUACUUAUCUCAAAUAAAUAAUUAAAAUAUUUAUAAAAUAGAUUAAAGAAAAUUAUCAAAAAUUGAUUACAAGAGAUAGGUGAUAUCAUGAUACAUCUAUGUAUUUUUAAUCAGAAAUUUUUAAAAAUAAUAAGUAAACUUGUUAAUAUUAUAAAAAUUGCAUUCAUUGCUUUCGUAUAUUGAAAUAAAAUUAAAACUCAAUUUCAAUUUAUAUUAUUAAAAAAAGUUUUCAAAGUGUUAGAUUUAUUAUAAUAUUCUUAAACUAUAAAUGAAAAACAAAACACCACAAAACUUAGUUCUUUUUAUUGAAAUUAUUGGUACAUUGUUUAUUUUAAAGAAAAAUAUUCAUAAACUUUCAAUAAUACAACUUAACUUUAAUAAAUUCAAAACAAUAGUUAUUAUAGAAUGUGGACGAGAAUCGCUAAUAUCUCGUUUAAAAAAAUUCUUACAUUUUUUAAGUUUUAUUAAUACUUUUAGCUUAAAAAAAAUAAUAACAAACAUGCUUUUAUGCUAGAGUAAUGAUUUCUCGGACUAAUCCGAUCUUACUCACAAAAUUUAAAAAGAAAAGAAAAAACUCUCCUUAAAACAAUAGAUAAUAAAUUACAUAAAACUUAUUGAGUACUAACAUAUGCUUAGUUACUAACGAACAAUCUUGUUACAUUUAAAUUAAAGUCCUCUCAAUGGUUCCAUUACCAACAAAUUGAGUUUUGAUAUUUGUGUUUCUAUCAAGUUUAGCUAUCAUAGCUUUUUCAAAAUUUGCAAUUAAUAUGUUUGAGUUGAGUUGCAUGUUAACAAAACUUGAGUGAAAUAGAACAUUAUAUUGUGGGGUGUUCAACUUUGGAAACCAAGAACAUGUUACAUUUUUAAGAGCUUUGAUCUUAGGUGACGUAUACCUGUCACAUUGUAUUUUUCAAUUUUUUUUUUUAAAAAAAGAAGCCAUUCCCAUGCUUUUCUAGAACAGAAAAAAUCGUCAAUUCCACGAGGAUGACUAAUAAAUAGAUGAAAGGAAAAGGCAGAAUGAGGUUGGAGCUAUGUGGCCGUUUGUCACCAACUUUGUACAUAUGAAUCAAACCCAUUUGGAACGUAGUAUUUAUUUAUUUUCUUUUUUAUUGUGGAAAAAUAGUUUAUAAUGAUAGAUGUCUAUCGUUAUAUAUAUUUGAUUAUUGGGUUAAUUGUUUGAUAGAAUUUAUACUUAACAAUGCUUUAAAUUUACGUAAUAAUUUAAUAAUGAUCUUCUAUUAAUUUAUUUUAAUUAAUAUAUUUUCAACUCUUGAAAAUUUCAAAUUUAAGACAUCCAAAACUCUCUCGAAGCCUUCCAUUCGGUAGAGAUUGUAGAUGUUUAAAAAUUUUCAAAUAUCAGGAAUCUUACAAUACUGCAAAAUACGAAACAAACACGACAGUCUAAAUGUGUUCAUGGAAAUCUAAGAUGGCCAUGAAUAAAUUGUCCCUAAAUGAAUUAAAUUACCAAUUCAGGAAUCGAACUUUUGAGAUUUUAGGUUUAGGAUUAAGAGUUAUAGUUUCAUAGCUAUGUGCAUUUUAAUUUUAAAGUUCACAUAUAAUUUUGGCAUAUUCAAUUUUUGGUUGGUAUAACAAGUGAGGAAGAUAUAUUAUAGUAUUUGAUGUAAAAAUGAUGGAGUAUAAGAACACAAACUACCGUGUUUGUGAUAUGAUGAGAAGUGAGUUCAAUUUAGGGUUUAGUGAUCAUGUUUAAUGACAAUGUAUUCUUUUUGUUUGUUUUAUAAGUGUUGAGUUUCUUAUAAUACUUUUACUUGUGUCUUCGUAUUUGGCUUGAUUAAUUCUAUAUGAACCUUCAUCAAAUAGCCAGCGAUAAUAAUAUUGAUUUUUGCAAGAAGGUUAACAAUUAGUGAAUCUAAUCAAUGAGUUGUAACUUGUAAACAACCAUGCAUUCUCCUAUCCUCUAAUUUGUAUCAUUUUCAAUAUGAAAUAACUAUAAAUUAAUAUGAUUCUAAAUUUGGACGUUUCGUUUUUAUAAAGUGGUAAUUAAAUAAAAUUUAUGAACUCCUCAGACAAGAUAACGACAAUUAAAAAUUAGUCAUUUAUCUAAUCUGUAAAUAUGUCAUGGUCAUUGAAUUAUAACAUUCUCAUUUGUGAAAUGGUGUAAGGUAUUAAUUGAAGUUCAUACAAUCUACUUCUUAGAUUGUGAGCUUUUGUUGUACAAUAGAGAUUCCUGUACGAUGAAUUUGUAUAUAAUGAAACAUUUUUAAAUAUAACCAAUAAAUUGAAACUAUUUAAAAAAACAUAAGAUAUAUUUGUAUAUUAGGUAUAUAACAAAAUGAAAAAAUAUUUUUAUAUUAAAAAUCUAAUGAUUUAGUAUGGAAAUUGUAGGCAUAUAUGUGUGUGUAUAUAUAUAUUUUUAAGAAAGAUAGAAUGGUAUAAUUUAAAAUGUAUAUAUUGGAAAAGAUGGCAGACAAACAAAGCAUCUAAAUAUUCUUUCACAAUUAGUUGAAAUCUCUUAUUUUUAAAGUAUUAAAGUUAACAACAACCUAUUUUUUGUUUUUUGUUUUAUAAAAAUUAGUUUGCUAUGUGGUUUUAAAUUUUAAUAUGAAUUGUGAAAUAAGAUUUUGAUAUAAAGGAUUAAACCUCUCUAAAUAUUUUCAUUUAAAAUAGAAAAACUAAAGAAAACUAAAACCCUGUUCCUGGACAGCUUCCGAUGAAGAACAUUCAUCCAAUCCUAUGAUCAUAGACCUCCACACCCUCUUCAGGUUCUUUUCUCUUCUUUUAUUUCCGUUGAUCGCAAACCCUUUUUCAUUCCGCUGCUCGCUUUGUGUGAAUGUUGGAAAAAUAUUCAUUUUUUCUUUUCUCUUUUUAGUUGUUGAAUUGAAUUCUGGAAAACAAUGUGAUCCUGUUUAUCAAACUUUUAAAAAUACGCUUCUCACAUGGCUAUAAUCCGUAUAUUUUCACCCCACCUUGAUUUUGGAGCUAUGAUCGUUUAAAGAACACUGAAUUUGAAGGGUCUUUCAUAUUUUUUUUAUUUUUUCUUUAAAGUCUUAUUUAAUAAGUUUGAAUGGGUUUAAUCAAAUUAUAGGGAUGGGAGAAUGUAAGAUUAUGAAAUCAUUACUGCCAUUGUUGUGAAAGGAAGCUUUGUUUCUGCUGUUAUUUAUGUUUUGUGGUUGUAAGACUGAUGAUUAACAAAACGUUUAUGGAGUUGGGGAGAAGUGAGGUGUUAUUCUUGUUCAAACCAACUUGUUUUUGUAGUCAAGAAAGUUGCGCUACUUGAUAGUAGAAUGCCUUACGUUGGUCUUUUCUACGAGUCUUGUAGUACCGUUUCUUUGGUUUUAAGGAUUAUGACUCUUGCAGGUGAAUGAAAAUGGAUUUGAAACAUAAAGGUAUAUCAUGGGUUGGAAACAUGUUCCAAAAGUUCGAAGCAGUUUGCCUGGAAGUGGAUAACAUUAUAAACCAGGUAUCUUCAUUUAUUUUUCCUUUUUACAUUUAGUGAUCCAAUCUUUUUGACAAAGGAUUUCAUGUGAUGGCUUUCUUAUUGAGUUGAUUAUGUGGCUCUAUUCACCGGUUCAUCAUGCAAAUGAGUAACUUGUCACUACAAUUUGAUUCUGUCUUUUUGUGUAGUAAGAAUAACUUUUAAACUGAUCUUAUGCACAGGAUAAGGUCAAAUAUGUUGAAAACCAGGUUAGUUCAGCAAGUGCAAAUGUGAAGAGAUUAUACUCUGAAGUUGUUCAAGGUGUACUUCCACCUAAAGGGGAUCCCAUGACAUAUGAAGCUAAAGCACUGGCUCAGAGGGGGCAUGUUCCAAUUAAUGCAUAUUUCAGGUCACCGUCACACAAUGAAGGAAAAGCUGCAAGUAAUGUUGUUAAUAAAUCAUCUGUGGGGCAUGGUACUAGUACUACUGAUCAAAUAGAUAACCGAAGUCAAGCAUAUUGUCAAGUUCCCUUUGUAAAUGAAGAAGUUGCUCAAGUUCCUAAUCACUUGUCUUUAGAGUUGAAUGCUGAUUUACCUUUGAAAAAGAAUGAUGAUGUCUUUUUAGAUAAAGGCUCGCCCGAGAGCAUGAAAGAAAAUACCGUUGGUGAACUACUUUCAAAGAAUAAUGAUGGCUCAUGUACAGAUAAGCUUACCCUCAUGGAGUCCGAUGCUAGUGAUCCUUUGAAGCACUCACUAAGCAAUGUAAAUACAGACAUUAAUGAUAUUAAGAAAAGAGCUUCUUCGGUUUGUGAAGGCUUUGAUAUGCAAUUGGAGGACGAUGUACUUUUAGUAGGGAGCAAUGAUGGGGUUGUGACAAAUAAAGAUGAAAGUAAGAGUUUUAAAGAAAAUACUGUCAAUGAGUUACUUUCAGAGAAAAAUGAUGGCUCAUUGACAGAUAAGCUUUCCCUCAUGGAGUCAGAUGCUAGUGAUCCUUUGAGUCACUCACUGAAUAAUGUAAGUACUGGAAUUAAUGAUGUUAAUAGAAGAGCUUCUGUGGUUUAUGAUCGCUUUGAUCUGCAAUUGGAGGAUGAUGUAUUUUUAGUAGGGAACAAUGCUGGGGUUUUGACAGAUAAAGAUGAAAGUACGAGUUCUGAAGAAAAUAUAUAUGAACUACUUUCAGAGAAAAAUGAUGGCUCAUUGAGAGAUAAGCUUACCCUCAUGGAGUCAACUGCUACUGAUCCUUUGAGUCACUCAUUGAGCAUUGUAAGUACUGAAAUUAAUGAUUCUAAUAAAAAAGCUUCUUUGGUUUGUGAUGACUUUGAUAUGCAAUUGGAGGAUGAUGUACUUCUAGUAGAGAACAAUGACGGGGUUUUGACAGAUAAAGAUGAAAGCAAGAGUUCUGAAGAGGAUAGCUCCAUGAAGUUCAAUGCUAGUGAUCCUUUGAAGCAUAUGGCUAAUUGUACACCUUGUGAAGUUAAAGUUACAAAUGAUGAAGCAAUUCUGAUUUUGGAUAAUUCUCAUUUACCAGUGGAAUCUUCCAAUCUCUCAUGGAAGAAUGAAGGCAACUUAUCAAAUGAAAGCUCAGAGUUUCUAAAGAAGUCUGUCACCAUGGAAUCUAACACUGCCGAUCAUUUGAAUGAAAACCAUCUUAAUCAUGUAUGGAGUGGAACAAACUUUGUAGGUAAAGAAGCUGAUGAUUCUAAUUUUCUUUUGAAAUCUGUGGUGCCUUCGGGCAGGAUGGAUCAUGUCAUGAUGGAUAAAGACUUCAAUAAGAGUUCUUUGAAGGGUGCUAUCUUUGAGGAUGAUCCUAGAAGUCAUUUGUUAAAUCUACCCAGGCAUGCAAAUGGAAUUAGCUUCACCAACGAAGAAGCUAUUAUGGUUUUUGAUAGAAAUCAUCUGCAGUUGGAGACGGAGAUACUUGCUAGAAAGAAUGACGAUACCUUGACCGUUAAACACUCCAAUGAAAGUUUAAUAAAGGAUACCAUCUUGGAGUUGGAGCAUGAUGCGAUAUAUCCUUUAAAGAACCAGCCAAGAUGCACAUCAAACAGCACCGAAUAUAAAAUUGAAGAAGUUUCUUCAGUUUCAAAUGAUUCUUUUCGAAAGUUGAAUAGUGGGGUUAUUUUGGGGAAGAACGUUAAAGCUUUAACAGAUAAAGCAUCAGAUGUAAGUUGUAAAGAACAGGCCAAUUUAGAAUUAUCAACUGAGUUAACUUUGCAUUGUGGUGAAGAGUCAAUUAAGGAAUCUUUAUGCAGUUAUGGUAAUGAAUGUGAAGGGGACAUUGUGACCUUAAAUGGAAGUCUACAGGAAACUUCGAUUCAUUGUGCAGAUGUUGAAUCCAUCCAUAAUGUAGAACAAGCUUCCAGCUUCUUGGUAAACAAUUUACUUGGUUUUUCACAAACAAAGGAGACAACUUCGAAGUACUUGGAAAAUGGAAUUGGUUAUUCUUCUAAUGCUGUAGAUGCUACUUCUUCUGAACGGGCUUCAAUAGUUUUAACUAGUGGGGAAACUGUGGAAGAGACAAAGCCAGUCUCCUCUUUGAAACCCCUAGCAAAGGGUUCUUUUUCUGCUUUCAGAAGUUCGGUCAGCAACCUUUCUAGUGGCACUGUUGUCCAUGAAAAACCUGUUGAACAUAAUGCACACACUGAAUGUAGAUCUCGUUCAUCGUUUCCAGUGUUCAAUAAUCCAUCUUAUGGAAACAACGCUUCAAAUAUGAAACUUGCCUCCUCCAGAAGCUCCUUAUCAUCAAUGGAAUCAUUAGGUAUGUACACUUAUCUUAUGUUGUUAAGGUGUUGAGAAUCCCACAUUGAAAAAAUCACAUUUGUAAGAUAGAUGAGCUACUUCUCUAAUUUUCAAUUGGUUUUGAGAUGAAACUUCAUACUAUUAAAUAUGGUAUUAGAGCCCAUUAAGCCCAAACAGGUAUUCGGUUCAAGAUCGGUGAAUCCAAAGAGGCACCAUCUUGAGGGGGUUGUUGAGAUGUUAAGAAUCUCAUAUUGGAAAAACCAAAGGGACUCACACUUAAGAUAGAUGAGCUACUCCUCUCAUUGCCAAUUAGUUUUAGAUAAAACUCCAUACUAUUAAAUUUUUGUUAUUGGAUAAGUAUUUGUGGUUUCUUCUGAUUUUCUUAAACAAUUCAUGACACAGUUGGGACUCAUGCUUCAAGAGCCAAUGAUACUACAUUUCUUCCUAAAUUCUGUACCGGAAGGCAGGGUGAUAUUUCCAAAUCUACUAGUUCUAGGAAUCCAAGUUUCUCUACUGAAGGUGUGUCCCUAAGCUUAUUUUCAUAUUAAUCUUUCAAUUUUCUGUUGUCUAUAAUUAUCAUUAUGAGAUGGUAGUUCACAUGUAGACUAUUUUCAUUGUAGAUGAAAAUGUUGCUUGUCUGUUUCGGUAAUGAUUUAGCUAAAAUCAAAGUCAACCUAUCAUAUCACGCUGUUUUUUUGAACUAAAAGAGAUUUGCUGUUUACUAUUAGGAUUAGGAACUAUUUAGUUUGUUUUCCUUGAAACUUCAGAAGUGACAAAAUCGAGGAUGGAGAAUUUUUUUUAUCUUUUAAUCUUUCCCUUCCUUUCCUUUCUCAUUAGGAAUUAAACGAUAAUCUUAAUAAUAUUUCUCAGGUUGUCCACAUGAUUCCAACGACUAUAUUUUGGAUGCGGAACUGGAAACAGUGGAUUUGGGACAUAAAGUGAGCCAUGAAGAUAAAUGUGACCUUGACUAUAAAGCUCUCCAUGCUAUCUCUCGCAGAACCCAAAAGCUCCGUUCUUACAAGGUCUCUCUCCCUCAACUAACUUGUCAUUUCAUAUAACAUCUACAGUUACAUAUAUGAGCCUCUAUCAAUUUUAAGUUUUGUUGAAAGAUGUUUAAGACCUGGAAACACCGUUUUCUCUUUGGGAUAAUAAUGUUUAACACCAACUUCAGCAUAAAAAACAGUACGAAAGAGUUUAUAACUAAAAUGCAAAAUGUAGGACUAGGAGUAACAUGUUUACUGCGAGUUAGGAACAUCAACUUCGUCUAAUGAAAUACCACUAUAUUUACCUGUCCAUUUUCCCCCCACCAUAAAUAUCUAAGGUGCUAAAAUAUUCUACCUUUUGUUUCUGAUCUAUUCUUUUUUACCUUCUAAAAAACAGAAGAGAAUCCAGGAUGCUUUUACUUCCAAAAAGAGGUUGGCAAAGGAAUAUGAACAACUAGCAAUCUGGUAUGGAGAUACUGAUAUGGAAUUCAGCACAAACAGUCCACAGAAAUUGGAGAAGGAGAAUCCAUCAACUAAUUAUCUAUCUGACUCUGAGUGGGAGCUCCUGUAAAUAAGACAACGAAUUUAGUUUGUCUCUGCAAUCAAUAUUGUUUUCAGGUGGAGGAGAAUCCUCCGUGCUGAAGAUCAAGAGAAAGCUAGUCUGUAAAUACCUUACUGUAGUCACCUUAUCUGUUGCAGGGCAUGACACCGGGCAUAAGUAACCUUGGAAAUUUCAAAAUAAACGAGUUAUAAUAAAUUUUGCUGCACAUAAUGCACUCUUUCUGGGCUGUGAACCUAUGAUGUUUUAAUUAAUUAAUUAAUUUAAAUAUACAUAUCUUUGGUAAAUAAAGCUGUCUUGUUUUUUUUUUCCCUGUUUGGGAAUGAUCUCUUUGUUUGAUCUUCUCUCUCCUAAAUUGAAAAGGAAAUUUGUGGACCUUUUCUUUUAUUCACUAUUAUAUGUAUCCUUUGUUCUUAUGUUGAGUUCAGCAAUUAGAAGUACUUUUGUUGUUCUUUCUUCCCAUCCAGACACUUGGACAAAAUUCCAUUCUAUCUUCACGCACUCUCAUUUUCUCAGGUUCCCUUUCUUUGCUCCUCUGAAGACGACUGGUAAGGUAAUUGGGUCAUUUCAUAAUUGAUAGAAUGAUGUCAAUAAAAUAUAAAGUUGCAAACAGUAAUCCUAACUUUGCAUUUUGUGGCUCUGUUGUAUACUUUAUUGUUAUCGGAAACUUUUACUACAAAGUUUGGUACCUAAUUGGAAUGGUUGUUCUGUCUAGACAUUUUAUUGGAAUAAUUGUCCCGCCUGUUCGUGUCGGUACAAAUAGAAACUGCUACUAUCUAGUUUUUGUAGUACAACAGGUAGAAUAUGAGGAUUUAAACUUCUGACCUCGAGGUAAAGAGUGGAGCUCAAUUUUUGUUGAGCUACCCUCACUUUCACCGUGCAAUAGUUUUUCUUUCAAUUUUAAUGUCAAAUUCUGUUAGAUGCUAAUUUUCCUACGUUUCUCAUCUCCAAUCAUUCAAAAACCAAACUCAAAAUCACAAGAAUUUGGAGAUUUGGUCAUUGAAGUGAAAGAUUAUCACUGUGUUUUUAUCCAACUGAGAAAAGACUUUUGUUUGUUUAAUGGUCUCAAUCAGGAUUCAGUUUUUCUAUAUCAUAAUUAGGAUAAUGGACUAGCUGUAUCUUCUUGAGAUCCAAUAGUGUAGAGCUUUAUAGAGUCAUCCAAUAGAGUAUUGUUAGUGUUGGAUCAUGAGAAUCACUGUAUUAAGUUUGAAAAGAGCUGUCUUUUCCCUCUCUCCAAAGGCUGAUAUGCUGACAUAGUAUUAGGGGAUAAAUGUGACUGAAUCAUAAGUUAUUGUGAGUGUUCAUGAUGAAAGCUCCCACUUAAAAUAGUAUGGUUCUGAUUGCCAACCUAGUAUUCACAUGUAGUGGAAAUCAGAUAAGCAGCUGACAUCAGUUUUUAUCUCACCUUUUGUAAACUUUAUCAGCUGGUUUUAUCCAUUUAUGCCAUCCCUACACUCUAUGCAUUUGUAUUAGUUAUUUCCCUUGUGCACUAUAGUGAUAGCUUACUCUAUAGUCUAUCCAUUCUCUCUUUUUUUUCCCUUGACGAUGAUCUCUCUCCAUUUUGGAUAAAUAUGAUGAUGGCAUGACUUUCUCAACUUUGUUACUUCUGCAUCUGAGCGCAACACAAGACUUGGAAAGGACCUAUGAAACUCACAAGUACACAAUCACAAAGUUUUUUUUUUUUUUUUUUUUCUUUCUUUUAGAGAUGAUCCAUUUUGGGAUAUGUUAACGUGACCCAAUAUGAAAGAGUGAGCGAAAACUAACAUUGACAAAGUCCAUAUUAGGGGUGUUCUUCCCAUUGCAAAAUAAUUAGAGCUCUAACACGGUAUCUUAUUUCAAUCAAGAUUUUAUUCUUAAAACAACGGUUGGUCAAACCAAUGAUUAAAAAUGAAAACCGUGUAAAACUUUGACCAUUUUGCAACGGAUGAGUCGUCUCUUAUGCAAUAAUGCAUAUUAGGCGGCAAAUUGCUCUAUGAUGUAAGAAAGAGUUGUUUGUAAUUAGUUUUCUAUGAUUGAGUCAUUCCGCAUUAAUACACUAUUUAGAUUGAAUCAUCCGUACAUGAGAUCACCAAUCAACUUUUUUUUUUUUUGAGAGAUUUUUUUGAGACUAAAAAAGCUGAAUUAGGUACCACUGGAAAUGAAGAAGUUAAGUGGAUUUUGAAAAGAAGUUUGCCUUCUACUUUGUAUUUCUUUUUUAAGAUUGCUUGAAUUAUAUUAUAUGCCUAACACAACAUGGGCCAUGUGUGUUUAUUGGGAGUUUCAUAUCAAACAAGAUGGCUAUAAAAUACUUCAAAAGAAAACAUGAAGAGAUGCUAUGAGAAGCUGUAAAAUGUCCAUGUUUGAGCCCCCCACCCCCCAAACAAAAUAAUAAUGGCUAAAGUAAUGAUCUCCCCUUCCAUGAAAAUAUUUAGUCACAUCCACAUUAAAGUAAGAAGCUAAAAGAAAUGCUACCCUCCCUUCCUUUAGCUUCUGCUUUUUCAUCAAAACUCUUUAGAUUAUGAAAAGACUAUAUAAGUUAAUGAUAAAAAUAAUGAACAUUAUACUCAUAAAUUAGACGAUAUUAGAAAAGAGGAAACCAGAAAAGAGGAAAAAGAGAAAAAACCGAGAGGAAAAAAAAAGUUAAAAAAAUUUGGGUUGGUUAAUUAAUAUAAUCAGUCUACCGUUUGAAUAACAAACUAACAAACAUGUCACAAUGUCAUUCCAUCAAAGGUUAAACAAAAAUAUAAUUCUAAAAAUUCUUUUUUAUAAAGUUUAGAGAGCGAAUAAAAACAACUUUUAAAGUUAAAAUUAAAUGACAAUGAAAUAGAUGAGAAGUGAACCAUCAAGAUCAAUGGGGGUUGUGGUUUAGUCAGAUCAAUCAACUUUUGGUUGGCUGAUUUCACUCCUACCAAACCAACCCAUUACUAAAUGUUAGAUCAAUAACAAGAACAUGACAUAUCUUAUACAUCUUCAUAAAACACUCACUUUUGUUUCUUUGAUAUCUUUUUCAAUCACCCACACACACACACAUAUAUAUAUAUAUAUAUUGCAAUAAAACAUGCAUAUAGAUGAGGUAAAAAGUUUAAGUUCUAUCUUGCCUUGAACUAUUUGGUCACGUAAACGAAUUUAUACAAAAAGUUAUAAAUUAAAAGAUACAUAUCAUCUUUAUUGCAAAUAAAGCAACAAUAAUAAUAAUAAAAAAAAACAUAAAGAGUAGAAAAAUCAACCAAAAUUAACGUGGUUUAAUAACGGCGUAGUUUAUCAUUAAAGAAACAUGAUAGAUAACAUAUUGACGAUGUUUUUAAUAUUUUGUUUGUUUUAGAUUUAAUGAUAAAAGAAAAGAAAUGUGGUAAUUUCUUUUGAAAUAUAUCAUUUGGGUUGUAAGGAGGAGAAUAUUGAAAAUUGAAUUAAAGAUUUAGUUGGAAAAAAGAAGCAUGAUUUGUUCUCUUUGUCAAUUCAUAUAUUUUUGAAUGCUUUGUUUAACUUUACAUGUAGAUAAAAAAUUAACUUUAGUGAAAAAUCUUGAAGAAGAUCUUUGUCAACUUUUAUUUAACAACUAAUUAAGCACUUAAACUGUGGAAUAAUCAAAAGCAUUCUUCUCUUUCUAUUUUUUCAAUCAUAUCUACUUUUUAGUACACCAAACUUAUGAAAUAAAAAAAACAACCAUAAUAAUAAAUCAAAUUAAUCUAUAUUUACGGGUAAUUGCUUAUCAAUUUUAAUCCUAAACCUUUUACAUUAUAUAAUUAUUAACAUUUAAAUUAUCUUCGUCCAUCAACUAUUUAACGUAACUUUUUGAGUCAACUAAUAAUUUAAUAUGAGAUGAGAAGAUAAAGUGGUAUGAACGAUCCUCUAAUGAUAUAAUAUUAAAUUAUUAGCGUAAUUGAAGUGAUGAAAAUGGUUAUUUUGAAGUUUUGAACCAAAAUAAAACAAAUGUGAAAGUUGGCUAAGAAAGAAAAAGAAAAAGAGAAGUUGAGGAUAAUGUGAAAAGAAGGCAGUGGGGAGAGAGAGAGAGAGAAGCACUUUUAAAAAGGAAAGACAAGAAAAUGGAUAAAUAUAUUCAUAGUUUUGUCCAAUUGAGAAUAAGUAGAAAGAAAAAUAAAUAAAUAAAAAAUCUACCGACUAAGUUUUUAUUUAUUGUCCACAUGAAAUACUCUUAAUAUAACUUUGAAACACUUCGUUUCUCUUUUGGUCGGUUUUGGAUUAAUUACUUUAAAUCAAAUUAAUAUAUGCUUUGUGGUCUGGAUCAUAUUACCAAAAUUCCUACUUAUAUAUAUAUACAUAGCUUAAUUAAAACUACUUAUAUUAUAAUCACAUGACUUUAUAUUAUUAUUUUAAAAUUUUGCCAAUAUAUUAUUGAAUUAGUUUCUUUACUUUAGGGUUAAAAUUAAAAACUGACUAAUAAGAAUGUGACACGUUGUGUUGUUGGCUAAUUACCAAAGAUGGGAAGGACAAACAACUUUAUAAUAAUGUUUUUUAUCAAACAUCUAAAAUUUGGCCAUGCCCUAUUAAAAAAAAGUUGACUAAUGUGGGGGCUUUUUAUUUAUAAUAUUAAAGUUGCCAAACUAUAUAUAUAUAUAUGAUAUCAUAAUCUUCGACCCAUUCUUAUAGGUUUGUAGAAAAUAAAUAAAUAUUUAUAUAGACACUUUUGAGCAAACAUUAAUGGUGAUAUGAACAUUAAUCACACAUUAGAGGUGUAAAAGGUCUUACUUUUUAAAUUCUUUUUAUGCAAACAUCACGCUUUUGAUCAAAGAAAUUAUCAAUUCAUAUUUAUAUAAAUUUGUUUUCUUAUCACUGUUUUUACUAUGGUUUCUUAAUUCUAAAAAAUUAUUCUUUGCUUUUUCUUUCAAAACUUCCCUUUGUUUUUAUAAAAAUCUAAUGUUUAUAAAUUUAUUAAUUUAAUUAAAAUCCAAACACAUUAUUAAAUUGGAUAUGAAAUGUAUAUAUAUUUUUUAGACGUCUAAACAUGGAGUAGAUAGAGACAUUUUUAUCUAUCACGAUUAAAGGAUGUUGAAUAGUAUGUAAAUAGAUGAAUUUGUAAUGUAAUUAAUAUAAUACAAACAACAUGUUUGGAUUAAAAGUUUCGAGUUUCAUUUGUAAUAUAAAACUCAUUUUAUUUUUAGAGUAUUUUCAAUAAUUCAACCUUUUUUUUAAGAAAACAUAUUCAAUGUAUAUAUUAUGUAUUUUAUUCAAAGUCAAUCUUGAGUUAUGUAUCUAUAGAUAACACUGAAUUAAAAUAAUAGUAAGUUAUUUAUACAAAAAAGCAAAGAAAUUAUUGAAAAAAGAGAUUGUCAUAAAAUGUAAAAAGGGAAGAAAUAAUAUAUUGUGUAUGUCAUUUUCAUUAUUUCUCUUUAUUCCAAUUUUCUUACUUCAUCAUUAUCAUAUGGAAACCACACACAAAAUUCUUUGCAUUUGCACAUUUUUUUUCUUCUCAUGAAAUGGGAGUUGCAAAAUUUGAAAAUGAAACCCCAAUGCACAUUUUUGACCAAAUUAUUCUUAUACUUAUCCCAUUCAAAAAUAUAUAUGCCAUUAUUUCUCACAUACUUUUUCUUUUCGGUCGGCUCGCCACGAUUAUUUUCACUUUUAAUUUUAAAAUACCAUCCUUAUAAAUAUAGCAACAAAAUUUAAAAUAUUGAUACAACACAAAAUAGUUUAUUAAUAAAACAAAAUUUAGAUUUAGCUCUAGGUUUGUUAGUCCCAAUGACAUCAUAUGUUACUAAUAGACUAUAAUCGUAAAUAGGUGUUUAUUAAUAAUUAAUAGUGAUACGGUCUAUCCCUAAUUAUAAGUGAGAGCGAUAAAGUCUUGAGUAUCAAACACAACGUACAUUUCUUUUCACUCUAAAAUCCUUCUAACCUAUGUGAUCGAAACUAAAAUCGAAAAGAAAUUAAGAGGAAUAAUGAUGUGGUGUAUAUAUAUAGAAAUAUAUCAUCUCACUCUUUGAUUUACAAAACCCACAAGAGAUUUAUUCUCUCUCAAAUAGCUCACGGACAAAACAAAAACAAAUACGACGUAAAUUUGAGCAUAACUCAUUCUCUAUUACCAUUUCUAGUUCAACUUUCAUCAAGCGAUUUCGUUGAACUUGAAAGUGUAAAAAUGAAAGAAAGAAAAAGAAGAAAUGUAUAACUAUUCAAUGAUGGCGUGGAUCAGGUCCUCCAGGGCUUAGUCUUUUGGACACAAAAUGCCUUCCAAGCUUCUCUUUCUCUUCAAUGAUAAACUUCAACAUUUCUUCCGCAUUCUUUACAAACAGUUCGUUUUUCUUAUUCGAAGAUGAGGACGGAGACUGAGACUGAGACGGAGAUGAUAGUAAACGACUUUCAGAAAUGGAAGAACACAAGAGCAGUAUCAAAACCAAACCCCAAAACAAGAUCAGCUUUACACUACAAUUAGCCAUUCAACUUCACAACACACACACUUUUGUUUUAAGGGGGUUGUUUCUUUUUUUCCUUUUUUUUUUGUUAGAUUUCUCAUACACACUUGUACAAUUACCUAUAUAUAUAGAUUGCAUAAGCAAAGAUAAGUGUAAAAUGGGCCACCAAAAAACAUAAAACUUUUCUAUCAGUGAGUGCAAUUUUAUUUAUUUAUUAAAAGUCAAGAUGUGACGAAAAAGUUGUUUUGUUUAACGAAAGAAAAGUUAAAAUAUAAGUCAGUGGCUUUCCCA